rnacentral:lncRNA from 1 species
CGGGUUCAAGUUGUCAACAACAAUGGAAAGACAGUGUUUGAUGGAGAGGUUCGUCCUGGGCAGCUGCUAAUUAUACCACAACACCAUGUAGUUGUGAAAAAAGCACAAAGAGAAGGAUGCUUAUAUAUUGCAUUCAAAACCAACCCUAAUUCCAUUGUUAGCCAAAUCGUGGGAAAGAAUUCCAUCUUCCGUGCACUUCCUAACAAUGUUUUGGCAAAUGCAUAUCGUAUCUCAAGAGAAGAAGCUAGGAGACUCAAGCACAACAGGAGAGUGGAGUCAGGCGUGUUCACUCCUAGUCAUGCCUACAGUAACUUCCAAGAUAUCAUGACUGCAUCAUUAUAGUAUAGGCUUGGAUUGCUAGGGAUGGUUUCCAAAUAAAUUACAAGAAAUAAAAGACUGCAUGCUUAUUGUAGCUAUGUAAUAUUGGAUGGUUGGAAUAAGAACAAUAAUAAUUUUGUUUCCCGUCUAAAUAGCUAUAUUAAAUAUUAUGAGUACACAAGUUCCAUUUAUCUAAUUAACAAUCGAUACAUAUAUAACCAUGUGCCUUCAAGAAAUAUUAAUUUGUGAUCCAUAAAAAGGAGCAUAAAAAGGAGUGUAAGAGAUAGAGUGACUUGCAUAUAUGUCAUAAUGAACAUGUGAGGAAUAUUUUCCAUCACUUCUAUGAACGCGGUUAAAGUCUUGAGAUGCAAACAACUUUGAAACCUUUCAAAUAUUGAAACGUGUUAGCUUGUUUGUAGAUCAUAUAAAAAAAUAUCACUUAUCUAUUAUAUACAUUAAAAGUUGGCUAGGCACUCAAAUCACUAGUUGGACUUCCAUUAAAAGUUUGGCGAGUCUUUUGAGCACCACAAAAACUGUGGCUUUGACUGCUUGUGGCACAAGAGUUCAGCAUGUCAAAAGCAACAACACGUAUCCAAAAUUUUGGAUUUGAGCAUGCACAAACCAAUCACAUAAGUUGACUCACUAUGCGUAGUUUACAUCAUGUAUUGUAGUACCCAUAUUUUACUCCAAAAAAGAAUGAAGUAAUCCAAAACAAUUUAUGGGUUAUUACCAGUUUAAAAGUCAAUACUACAAAAUAAACUAUGAUGAAUAAAUCCGAAAAUUAACUCUAAAAUCUAAAACUAAGUUUCAAACAUUCAAAUUUUGGUUGCAGCUGAUAAGCCAAUAAACACACGAUCGAUCUUAUUCCUUGGAUUAUUGAUUAUCAUGAGCACGCUUCCCAAGCUCCCCAACGGUGCAUUUUUUGCAAAAGUUUUCUAUCUAUAAGUUUCUUAUAAUACUUUUUUUAGAAACAACUUUUCAACUUGGUAAUAGUUAAUUCAUACUUUAUAUCUUGGAAUAUCAUCAUAAAUUUAGAUAAUCAAUCAUCCAUUUAGCUUAGAAGAAUUGGACUUCUAGACAAAAUACACAUUGAUUUCCUAUAGCAAGGGUAUUAUUAUCUUUGGGUGUUUGGACGACAGAGAAAUAAGUGGUAUAAAACAUGUUCAUUUCUACUUCACUGGAUUUUUGAUGUGGAUUAUUUGUUCCACACCUUUGAGAAUAUGUUUUUUUUAAAAAAAAACUUUCUUCUAAUGCAUUGCUUAGACCACUUAUUCUAAGCCAUUUAUAAGUUUAGAUUAAAAAUAUUUAAUUUAUCCCAGAAUAAAGUAGAUAGCCCGCAACAAUAAUCCAGUCAAUAAUCUCGAACAGGUAGAAACCGCUACGCAUAUUUGAAUUCAAAUUAGUUGCACCUAGUAGUAAGUAAGGCAAUGCCAUUGUAUCGCCUUUUGUUUUAUACCUUUGCUCUAGGUCAUUGGUUAGCAGAGGCUAAAUUACGUGCCAAGGCAACAAGGGACGCACCUUCUGUUCUCUUCUCGGGUGAACACUAGUAGGAUAAAUUGCUUCACAUGAUUCACUUCCAACCUUUGGUGGACAAAGUGGCAAUAAGACACUGGGAAGGAAAAAGUCCUAAACCAAGAAGUAAAUUUCACAUUGCACCAUACAUUUUUAACAAAGUUUCACAAUGGGAAAUGGCCAAAUCAACCUUUUCACUUAACAUUACAUAUCUUUGCACUAGUUGGCACUUUGGACUUGGGAUGAGCACAUCAAAGGAAGUUGUCAGAGAAAAGCUAGUUUAAAUCAUCAUCCAUAGUGCCAUAGUAUUAAGAUAAAUAUCUUUAAAAAAAUAUUUGCAAAUCACAAAACAACUUUUUUUUAGCAAAUCACACUAAAAUAAUGAUGUGAACAUGUUUAAAAGUGGCACAAAAUGAUCUAUACGUAGGGGCAAAUGAACAAAAAUAAAAUAGAAAAUAAAACUAGUUAUUUUUGAAUUUAAAUAAAAAUAUAAAAUAAAACUAGUUAAUUACCACUCACACUGAAAAGAAGAAGAAAGCAUAAAAUGUUUUGCCUUUUAUAAUUAUCCGUAUGCAAAUCAUAUGAAGUUCUCUCACAUAUUCCCUUGUUUCGAUUACCCUUAGACCCUAGUCCAAACUGAAAACUUAUGUAAAGAUGUAUAUUGUUAAGUGAAAAUAUUGAUUUAACCCUAGUUUAUAACAAAAUCUUGAUCAAAACAUAUGGCCCAAUGUAAAAUUUACUUAAGAAAAGGUAAAACUAGUUAAUUACCGCUCACACCGAAAAGAAGGAAGAAAACAUAAAAUGUUUUGCCUUUUAUAAUUAUACGUGUGUAAAUCAUAUGAAGUUCUCUCACAUAUUCGCUUAUUUUGAUCACCCGGAGUCCAAACUGGAGACUUAUGUAAAGAUGUAUUCCCUCCGUCACAACAAAAUUUGGUCAGACUUCUUUCCAGAUUUGUUGUACUAGAUUAUAUCUCAUCCCAUACUUCUUAGGCUCCGUUUAGCUUCUUAGGUUGGUUUUUUUUUUACGGAGGGAGUAUAGUGUUAAGUGAAAAUAUUGAUUUAACCUAGUACAUGUGUUCCAAUGUACUUUAAAAAAAGGUAAAUGAAAGGCGUUUUCAAAAAUCAAAAUGCAGCUCCCUCCGAGCAAAAGCCGUUGGCUUCUGUCAAACGUCAAAUCCGUCAGGCUUACCAGUUUUAGUACUACCACACUCCUACUGCACCUAGCCUGACGAAAUGAAAAGGUUGCAAAGAAAGUUUUGAGUUUUUAGCCGUUGCGCAGCAAAUUUGCAAUCAAGAAGAAGAGAGGGAGCGAAUAGCGAUGGAGCAGAGCGCCGGGCAGAGGAGCUCCGUCGCCACCAAUGCCACCGUCGAUCUGGAGGUACUCGACUGCACCGUCUGCUGUCAUCCCCUCAAGCCUCCAGUCUUGCAGGUACUCAAUCAUCCUUGUCUCUAAUAUUGUAAAAUUGGUUCCUUUUCUGUCUUUCUACCAUGGAUGUAUGAGCAACAUUCACCAUGUAUUGAUCUUGAUUAACCUGUUUUUCGGGUCCUCUUUUUUUUUUUUUUGGUAGUGUGGAGUUGGGCAUGUCAUUUGUUCGUCCUGCCAUGGCAAGCUCCCGGACAAGAACAGGUGCCACGUCUGCGCCAUGGACACCGCGUACAACCGCUGCUUCGCCGUGGAGCAAAUCCUGAGGUCCAUCCUGGUGCCUUGCCGCAACGCCGGCUACGGGUGCGACGCCAAGACGGCCUACCACGACAGCGACAGCCACGAGGACGGGUGCCCGCACGCGCCGUGCUUCUGCCCGGAGCCCGGGUGCGGCUUCGCCGGCGCGACCUCGUCGCUGCCCGCGCACUUCACCGGCGGCCACGGCUGGCCGCCCGCCACCGAGUUCAGGCGCGCCAGGGCGUUCGACCUGCAGGUCCAGGAGGGCAAGCGGGUCCUCCGCGACGUGGACGGCGGCCACCUGUUCCUGGUCGACGUCGCGCCGGCCGGACCCGCCGGCCUCGCCGGCGCCGUGCUCCUCCUGGAUCCCCAUGCCGGCGCGAAGGCGAAGCCCAAGUUCGAGUGCCACGUCGCGUUCCACUGCCGCGCCACGGGGUGGCGGUCGUCGUCGGAGUUCCCGGUGAGGAGCACGGCCCUCGACGGUGGGUCGUUGCCGGCCGACUGCUACGCGUUCGUCGUGCCCAGGGUUGCUCAUCCGCCCGCCACCGCCAGCAUCAUCGUGUCCGUCUACGACGUCUCCAAGAAACGACCACGCAACGGUGACAUUCGGCAACACCUGAAGUCCCGGGUCAACUAAUUAGUUUUUGUAUCUCUAAACCUAGUACUCCUACUCCCUCUAGUACAAUGUACCAACUAAUCAUCACCCUGAUGAUGCUUAAUCUUCCACAAUUGUACGAACUGAUCAUCACCCUAGUGAUAAGGUGAGCGAGUACUGCGCAGAAGUGGAAUUUGUUUUGCUUUUGUCAAGCAGCAGCUUCAACAAAACCAUUGACAUUCUUUUCCUAUUUACGAGGAAUUUCAUCAAGUUCAGCGACCUCUUUCCCUAGUUCACUAACCUACAAUACAUAACAAGAUAUUCCGUAAUGUGCGAAUUUAAAUCGACAACAGAACAUGGCGCACAUCUGCAUAUGAUUUACAACGAGCACUGAAGUUGUUUUUUCAUAUGAUAAAUCCAAAACUUCCCUUCUUGUCUUGACUUCUAAUUGGUUCCUGAGGUGCAAACAACUUGCAUUUCCUCGGAAUUGUUGGUGUUGUUGCCCUCCAAAGUAGAACUGCAAGGCCCAGCUUGUACCGUUUCUGUGUCCAGGAAUGUUUCCACUGGAGAUCCGUUAUGCUGCUCAACUUCAUCUCUUCUAGAUAUUGGAGCAUCAGCUUCGGCAAUGAAAGUUGUAGCCAUUAUUUCACUCAAAUUGAAGCCACCAGACCUAUCAUCUUCCAGAACUGAAACAGGGUAUGAGGUUAAAGCUUCUACAUUCACUUCAUGAUGUUGCCCAGUUUCACAGCUUUCUGAAAAUAUAACAGUAUCUGCUGUUUGAGAAAAAUAGGAAAAUUCUUUAUUAGCAGCCCCUGAGUCAACUUCUCCCUUCCCAGCACCUGGAUUGCUGAUAAAUUCUGCAUGCACUGUCCUCAGUCCUAUUUUUGCAGAAGACCUCUCGUACAUACUACUUUCCGUGCUCAAGAUUGUUGGACGAAUCUCCAUACCAAUAUCAAAAAGAGAUGAACCCUUUGAUUUACUAGUAAUUGUUUCAGCUUCACAAUCUACUGAAGAGGACAGAUUUAUAUUUUCUAGUGAAGACCCCUGGUGUUGUGUAUUUUGGCUGCUCAUGUUUGCUCUAGGGUCAAUUGCUGCUUCAUCACCAGCAUUUAAUCCCACAUCGUCGUCAUCCGAAGCAUCAUCAAGGCACUCUGUCUGAAUUGUUUCCACGUCUGGUUCCUGCGAUGUUCCCUGAAGCUCAACUCCACCUGUAGGUGUUAGAAGAGUAUCCCUUUUCACAACAUUAAACAGAAUACCAUUUUCAAUCUUUUCGGGUUGCAGUAAGUCGCCUUCAGAAACCAUGAUACUUGUUGAACAACCAAAUGGAGAUCUAGGGACAUUACUAUCAUGAGGAUCAUAACCUGAAUUGCCCAAGCUCCUAUCAGGAGUAAUAGGCAUUGCACUGUUGUCAACAGAUUCUCUACCAAUUGCCUGAGAAACCAAGAAAUUAGCAUUUGGUGUUACAACAUCAGUUCUGUCUUCCCUCGAUGAAAUUGUUCUGAACUCUGUGUCAAUCUCAAGAUUCUGAACAAAACUGACGAAUUUGUUGGCUGAGGCUGUCCUCAUAAGAGGGCCACCACUUCUUGUCCAUGAGUUUAAGUCUAUACUCUCAGAUUCACUGUCACUGCCAUCAUGUACAUUUUGUUGGACAUGAUGGUUUUUGUUAGAUGGUCCAGCAAUUCCUCCAUCUGCAUGAUGGUUUGUACGAGGAGAUAUAAGGAAUUCUUCUUCAAGGGAACCAGAUGAAUUUUCUCUUGCUAUGAGAUUCCAUGAUGGAAUCCUUCUAGAUGGGCAGAGUCUGAUUGUAGGACCAUGUCCUUGUGAAGCUGCUGCUCUUUCCGCGCUUCUCUUUAGCCUACGCAUAUGGUUCAACAGGGCAACACAUUCAUCUAGUACCAGCUCAAUAGCACAAUUUGCCCUAAUGGCUGAUAACUUCUCCCAGGUGCAUCGCCUACCCUGAUUUGCAGCCUUCUGAAGCUCAGCGUAAGAUGGAUUCUGUAUGAUCUUGGAAUACUGAUGAUAACAAGAAAGAAUUCAUUUGUAAGUUUACCAGUUAAUGCCAAGGAUAUUUGUGAAAGAAAGGAAUGGGAAAUAUUAAAGACCUGAGCAAGCGUGGCUGGCAUAACAACUGUGACAUCACCUUCCCAAUCUUGAGCAAACAACUUGGCUAUUCCUCCUAAAGGAAAUCCAAGUUCGAGAAUUUGGUUGCACCUAUGCUUAACUUCCAUCUCAGCAAGUUCAGCCAACUACAUACAGAUAGUAUUGAAGAAUCUAUGAGAUCAUACAACAAAGCACUUAAAUACAUGCUUGCCCAUAGAGGCAAAGCAAGGAAAUUCAUAAGCCUAGGGCUCAACUAAUCUGAUUUGUUAAAUUUCAAACUUUUACAUAGUUUUUUCACUUUUUAAAUGGAUUUCGAAGAGAUUAAGGAGACAAGCCUAGAGUUCAAACCCUAAUUUCCCUAGGCUUGUCUCCUCCCCUGCUUGCCCAUAGCAGUUUUAGUAUAUUGAAUUAUUCAUCAGACAUAAAAUUCAACUAAUAUCUGCAGUGAACUAAACCUUGCUGAGCAUAGUUCUACACUAGGCUACUAAGCCACAAACAUGCCUGAAAUACUGAAAGUUAUAUCAUGUAGCAAUCCAAGUGAAAAUAAAAAUCCUUCCCACCAUGAAAUCGAUAUCAAGUUAUAUCACAGACAGCUCAAGUAAAUAAACAAUCAAAAAUAAAGAAUGCAAUAUGGAAUGUUUUUGACACGCACCUUGGCAGCAAAACUGCCUCCAUAAGCCCUGAUAAUUUCCUUGAGUCUCAACAGUGGAGCUAUGUGAGGAUUGGCUUGGCUUACUAUGAAAUGAUUCACAUUGAAUAAUUCCUUCAAUUGCUUCAUUGGCAAAUCACUUUCCAAGCUCCCAUCUCUCCAACGCCGAGUUGUAGCACCAACUCUUUCUUCCAAGCCCAACAGGAAAGGAGCAUGAAAAGGAACUGUUUCUCCAAAUCUGUCUUUUGCCAUCAACUCUUGGGCCUCAAAAAGACCAGGAAAAGCACAGGAAGCAGUUACUGCACUCCAGAUGAGAACAUGAGGUGAUGUCAAAUAGUUCAGGCAUCGAGGUGGCUCAUGCUUCCUUGGAGAACACACAGUGACAACAAGAAUCCGGCCCGUCAUGUCAUAGGCCUCUUGGAAUGUCAAAUUGCUGGUAAGAUUUCUCAAAAGCGUCUGCAAAUGUCUAAUGUCAUGAACAGCUCCAUGAGUCAAAAUCCUUUUAACUACGGGAAAGAUCCCGCCCAUCUGGUCAAAGAACUUCAAGGAAUGCCACUCCUCGAAAAAGCUCUCCAGCUCUGGCCAUGACCUUGUUGCUACUAUGGAGCACAUUAUAGAACCAACGCUAGAUCCUGAAAUUAUCCUUGGCAGAAGCUUAUGUUCUACCAAUGUUUUCACAACACCCACAUGGAAACAACCUAGAGAAGCACCCCCGCUUAGCAGCAAGGCUGUUCUACCGAAGGCAUGUCUUGUCUCAUGCAUAAAUGCAAGUUUCUCUUCGAGAGGCAAGUCGUCUGAAUCAGAAUUACAUACCAUUUUCAGCUGAGUAGAUACUUCCUCAAUGUACUCCUUUAUGAGUUUCGGCACCUGGCAAUAUGACAUAGUGAUAUAUAAGAAUAGACAUUUGAGUAGAUGCUCCAAUGGGGACAUCAAAAGGGGAUCCUAUCAGGCUAUCACUAUGAAUAUGAGUACUUCGUAUAAUUUGUUGCCGUACUGACAUAACACAAACAAAUCAUCCGAACAAAGUGAAAAAAAUUUCCAAGACUAUCUUGGUGUGUGUAAUGGAAGUGGAUCCACUUCGCAGAUUUAGUGUAAUGGAAUUACUUUACUUCAGUUGUAACAAAGGGAAAGUAGAAGCAUUGCUGAAGUUCUGAGAAUUAGCUAUCCUAACUCCUAACAACCAUCUAAUUGCAUCAAAUUUGCGGGCGUAAUACAGGUUAAGAUUAGAGCAGUUACCUGCAGCCUCCCCUUGUGGAGCUCGGAGUUGCACAUGUUGCCGAGAUUCCUGAGCAGGUCGGCGCGCAUGCAGAAGACGAUGUCCCUGAGCGAGCCCUCCUGGCGGCGGUGCCUGAGCUCGCGGAGCUUGUUGCGCACGAGCUCCUCGUCGUAGAGGUCGGCGUCGGUGGCGCGGCGCGGGGUCUCGCGGUCCAGCAUCCGCGCGGCGUGCGCCCACUCCUCGUAGGUGAGCGCGGCGCGCAUCAUGUUCCGCCAGAACUUGCGCCGGUACGCGGACUGCACCCGCGCCCGGACCCCGGCGCGCCCGCCGCCCCGCCCCCGCACCCGCAGCAGGAGCGCGACGGCGCAGACGGCGAGCAGGAUCCCGCGGGUGUUGUCCCGCGGGUGCAGCCAGCCCGCCGCCACGGGGAGCGCGGCCCGCAGCGCCGCGGCGAGGCGGUGGCGCAGCCGCCCCAGGGAGCCGCAGAGCAGCACCCGCAGCGCCAACGCGCGGCCCAGCGCCGUGGACGGGCCGAUCGCGAACACCCCCACCGGCGCCUCGCUGCUGAUCGCGUCCAUGGCCACGGGCGAGCGGACGGGCUCAGGAGGCGAAAGAGCGCGGGGGGGUUUGAUGGCUGCAAGCCGCGGGCGCGAUGGGCAUGGCGUGUGGGAGUCGCCGAGUCGGGGAGCUUGGAGAUUUGGAGGUGGCGCGGCCGCCGAGCGAAGCGAGACGGGGGAUCAAGAGGGGGACGAGUUGGUUUCGUCUCGUCUCGCGGUCGCGGGCUCGCGGCGGCGGAUCGGCGGGUGGGGACAAAAGGGCGUCCGAGUCAGAGCCCAGGAAUGGGAAGCGAGGAGAUAAGGGAGGUUACGCGACGGAACCAACUAAACUGCAUCCGCGGCAAUCACGCCAAGUCGGGAUGGGCGCGCCGGCUGCCUGGAACCGAAGAGAACCGCGCGUCCGGCGCGCGCCGGAUCUAAACCGAUCGAAUGGAUGGUGCGACGAUUGAUGUCAGGGGCGCGACCAGCAGUUUGGGCAUCAGGAAGUAGAUCUUGCCAUGAGUAGAUGGCAGAAGCCGCAGAACACACCAUGGUUCUUUUUCUGAUAAUGAAAUGGGGCGUCCCGGCCUUUUUUUUUAAAGAGUUACAACCAAUUAUUACAAUCUCACACUCAAAAUGAUAAAUUGAUAAGUGUUGUUGUGUUGGUAACACCAACUUACAAUUUUUAAUCAGAAAAGGCUCAUUACGGGACUCUGUGAGAUCAUCCGAUGAUUUAGUUGGAUUUUGGUGUCAGCCUCAUACCAUUUUACAUUAGCCUAGAGAGAUGAGGAAGUGACCCAUUUAACAAUUAACAUCUUGUAUCGUGGUCCUCGAGUCAAACCAGACGCACACGUGGAGACGAUAUGUGAUCUUCUGGGCUGAAAGACAAGUUGAACUAAACAUAAACCUAACUACUCCAGUUAUUAUAGUCCUUGCGAUGAAAGUAUGAAACCUAUGUAGGAGUAUUUAGAUUCGAGGCCAGACUCAGUUUGCUCAUAUCGCAGACAUGGGUUUGUUCGGUGAUCAAAACGCUUUGCAUUGACGAACGAAUAAACUGAGGCAUCACGAAGUAGAUCUUGCAUACAUGACGAACGAAACGUGUAUGCCGCUUUUGGAAGGUUAUAGUUUAGCUUGAUGGCUAGAUAAUUCUUGUUUACAGCUCCAGAAGACCACAAGUAGUUGUCGUGAACGCACGUCCCAUGAGAUUUUGGGCUGAUAGACUCUCAGAGGAUGGUCAUAUGCUGCGUCAUAUGCAUGGUAUAGACAGAAGAACCAUGACCAUGAUUACAGUGUACUAUUGUGAUACAUCUCGAUGAACCUAUUUGGCCAUUUGUAGUGGAGAUAUGUUAUAGACAACUGUUGGAAAUAUAGUCAUUAUUCGGUAUAUUUUAAUCCAAGGAAUUGAAACUAUGAUCAUGGCAUAAGCAGUGUAGGGUGAUCUUAACAUAACCAGUAGCAUACUAUGCGCAUCAUGAAUGUCAGAAACAGGAACAUACCAGUAAUGCGAUAACAUGCUAGAGGCAUCAUGUAGAACAGGAACAAGAACAUAGCGCAUACAGUAUAGCGCUAACAAUGGGAACAGGAGUAGCGCUAACAGCAGUAGAAGGAGAAGAUUAUACCCCGAGAAUGGCCCUCCGCUGGAUGGUGAGGCAGAAUUGCCUCCGUUGUUGUAGUCGUUCACGGCACCUCCUCCUGGCGCACCAGCUCCGGAUCCAGCUCCUGUCGGCGUCGGCGGCGGCGCAGCUCCUGUCGGCGGCGGCGCACCACCUCCGCCAAUAGCGGCGGCAGCAACUCCAGACAUGGCAAUGAGCAGUCGUGCAGGAGGCACUCCCCAAAAACCUGAUCACCCGCCUACCCGGUGCAGAUCUCAGGCGAAGGUGUGGUUUCGGAGGCACUGCUUCUUCCAAUCUCUCGUGCGCGCAAGAGAUCAGAAGCGGGGAAGCGAGAGCAACUCAGGCGCGGAGAAGGAGAAACUAACACCGGGAAAGAAGCGAGGAACUCGGAUCGGACUCGCGGCCUCCUUAUCUAUCAGGAGAAAGAACGUGGACGCGUUGUUGCGGAGGGAAUCGUGGGAACGUGGGUUAGUGGCUGCAAAAGGAUAGCGACGUGACGCACGCACGCACGCCCGCCGCCAGCCAGCCACGCCUCGCCCACGCCCACGGCCCGGCGCGCGCGCGCGCGCGUGUGGCAUUCCGACCCCCACCUCAACUGGUCAACAGGGAGCCUCUAAUAACUCCCUAUUUAGGUUGAGAUAUUUCUCGCUUAAAUCCAGAGGUGGUAUUAUUAUCCUCAACAUUUAUUAUGGGCCUUUGAGAUUUAAUAUUAUAAGUUGGGCCUAGCCCAAUUAUUCUAACAAUCCCCACCAAAUUUCAAGGCUCAUAAGAAAUGUUCUCAAGGCUGUGCCUGUUUGAUAUAUCAGAGUUUUUGUGGAGACUGUUAAGUUGAACUUCCACCUAGGAAAUGAGCUACAUCAGACCACAACUGAACAAUGGACUAUGCCUUGAAUUGUAAGUUUUGUGUGAUCAGGUUUCACUCAGAACCUUGACUGGUACUGGGCUGCCGUUCGCAUCCCCUCUGUUUGGAGCAUAUAAGUCAAACUCCAGGCCUUUCAUGAGUAUCUAGAGAUUGCCCAAACCUCAUAGACUGUGACUAGCAGUCGAACUCAUAUAGGUGUGUUCCUUCUGAGAUGUUCUGCAGGUCAACAUCUCUGCUUGGAAAAGCCACUCGGAUCACAUUAAGACAUAAGCCAUCCUACCAUGCAGGAAAGAAGAGAAGCACAUCAUGAAAAUGAGCCCCUUUCAAGAGUCUCUUCUCUCAGUCACACAAUAAUUUGUUUCACCAUCCAAAUUCACGGGAUCUCCGAUCACAAUGGACAGGUUUCCACUAUUAUGCAACCUUAGGUGGGUAUCAAGCCCAUUUCCCUCGAUGCACUGUCUAUCACAUUACGUGGUAGCCCCUUGGUAAACUGAUCUGCCAGAUUUCUAGCCGUUUGGACAUAGUCCAAUGCUAUCACUCCGGAGUUUUUCUGCUUUCUGACAGAUUUCAGUCUUCUCUUGAUGUGUCUAGAUGACUUCAUGUUGUCCUUUGAACUGUUCACUUUAAUAAUCACUGUUUGAUUAUCGCAGUUCAUUAGGAUAGCUGGCACUGGUUUUUCAACCACUGGCAAAUCCAUCAGGAGUUCACGAAGCCACUCAGCCUCAACUGUCGCAGUAUCUAGUGCUGUAAGUUCUGCUUCCAUUGUUGACCUCGUUAAGAUGGUCUGCUUGCAAGACUUCCAGGAAACAGCGCCACCUCCAAGUGUGAACGCAUAUCCACUUGUGGCUUUUAUCUCAUCAGCAUCAGAUAUCCAGUUUGAGUCACUAUACCCUUCUAGUACUUUUGGAUACCCGGUAUAGUGAAUUCCAUAGCUCAUAGUGCCCUUUAGAUAGCGCAUUACUCUUUCCAGAGCCUGCCAAUGAUCAUCUCCCGGAUUUGAGACAAACCGGCUCAGCUUGCUUACAGCAAAUGAGAUGUCAGGCCUCGUUGCGCUAGCCAAGUACAUCAAUGAACCAAUGAUUUGAGAGUAUCUCAGUUGAUCCCUUGCUAUUCUUCGGUUUUACCUUAAUAGCACGCUGGGAUCAUAAGGAGUAGGAGCUGGCUUACAGUCACUAUAUCCAAAGCGACUCAAAACCUUGUCCACAUAGUGGGAUUGCACAAGUGUAAUCCCACCCUCAUCUCCUCUUUGUAGUUUGAUGUUAAGAAUAACAUCAGCCUCUCCCAAAUCCUUCAUUUCAAAACUCUUGGACAGAUAGUCUUUGACCUCCUCAAUCACAUUAAGGCUGGUCCCAAAGAUCAGUAUGUCAUCGACAUACAAGCAUAAGAUCACCCCUUCUCCCCCACCAUAGCGAUAGUAUACACAUUUGUCAGCUUCGUUCACAACAAAGCCUGCAGAUGUAAGCGUGGUGUCAAACUUCUCAUGCCAUUGCUUAGGUGCUUGCUUGAGGCCAUACAAGGAUUUCAAUAGUUUACACACCAUUCCCUCCUGACCUUCUAGUACAUACCCGUCUGGUUGAUCCAUAUAGAUCUCCUCCUCCAGCUCUCCGUUUAGGAAAGUUGUCUUAACGUCCAUCUGAUGGACGAGAAGACCAUGAGAGGCUGCCAGAGCAAGUAGUACUCGAAUCGUAGUCAAGCGAGCAACUGGUGAAUAUGUGUCGAAGAAAUCCUCGCCUUCCUUUUGGGUAUAACCCUUGGCCACAAGCCUUGCCUUAUACUUUUCGAUUGUACCAUCAGGCCUAAGCUUUUUCUUGAAAACCCAUUUGCAUCCUACGGGCUUACAUCCAUAUGGACGCUCAACGACUUCCCAAGUACCAUUAGACAUAAUCGAGUCCAUUUCACUGCGUACUGCUUCCUUCCAGUAGUCAGCGUCAGGAGAUGAAUAUGCCUCUUCUAUGGUUCUUGGGGUGUCAUCCACGAGGUAUACAAUGUAGUCAUCUCCAAAGGAUUUUGCAACCCUUUGUCUCUUACUCUUGCGAGUAUCUACAAUGUUGUCCUCCUCAGGAUUUUCCUCAGGCGUUUGAUCAUUGUGUUCUAUCGGUGCAAAGUGCUCAUGGGGCAUGACAGUUUCUUUACUAGAAGUGCUAGGUGUAUAUUUCAUAGGAAAUUCAUUCUCAAAGAAAGUAGCAUCUCUGGACUCAAAAAUUGUACCAGCAUGCAUGUCGGGUACUCCAGAGUUUACUAUUAAGAAUCUAUAACCCACACUGUGGAUAGCAUAACCAAGAAACACACAAUCAACAGUUUUUGGUCCAAGUUUCCGCUUUUUGACUAUAGGUACAUUUACCUUGGCCAAACAGCCCCAUGUUCGUAGGUAUGAGAGAUUUAAUUUCUUCCUUUCCCAUUCCUCGAAUGGUGUUACUUCCUUGUGCUUCAUUGGAAUUUUAUUCAGGACAUGACACGCAGUCAGAACUGCCUCACCCCACCAUUCCUUGGAAAGCCCCGCAGUGUCUAACAUGGCAUUCACCAUCUCAGUUAGAGUACGGUUCUUUCUUUCGGCCACCCCAUUUGAUUGGGGUGAAUAGGGAGGCGUCAUCUCAUGAAUAAUUCCAAACUCUUCGCAAAAGGAUGCAAACUCAUUGGAAAAAUACUCCCCACCUCUAUCAGACCUCAACCGUUUGAUUUUCCUUUCAAGUUGGUUUUCUACCUCAGCUUUAUAGAUUUUAAAGUAAUGCAAUGCCUCAUCCUUUGUUUUCAAUAGAUACACAUAGCAAAAUCUAGUGCAAUCAUCUAUCAGUGUCAUGAAAUAUUUCUUUCCCCCUUUAGUCAACACGCCGUUCAUUUCGCACAAAUCGGAAUGAACAAGUUCCAGAGGUGCCAAAUUCCUCGCCUCAGAUGCCUUGUGAGGCUUGCGAGGUUGUUUCGAUUGAACACAAGUAUGGCACUUGGAACCUUUGACCAAAGUGAAUUUUGGAAUUAAACUCAUGUUAGCUAAGCGCAUCAUACAACCGAAAUUCACAUGACAGAGUCGCGAAUGCCACACAUUAGACUCAUCAUUCUCGCUAAUAUGGUUCACAGCGUUAUGAUUAUUACACAUGUCAUUCAAAGAAAAGCGGAACAAGCCUCCGCUGUCAUAACCUUUUCCAACAAAAGUCCCAUAUUUAGAUACGACACAUUUAUUGGACUCAAACACAAGUCUAAAACCUUCUCUACACAAUAGAGAGCCGCUAACUAGAUUCUUCUUUAUUGAAGGGACAUGCUGCACGUUCUUCAGCUGCACGGUCUUUCCCAAAGUAAACUUCAGAUCGACCGUACCAACACCAUGAACAGCCGCAAGCGACCCGUUUCCCAUCAACAAGGAGGAACCUCUCCCGACCUGAUAAGAAGAAAACAGAGAAAUGUCAGCACAUACAUGAAUAUUAGCACCAGUAUCCACCCACCAAUCAGGUGAAUGAAAAACAGAGAGAACUGUAGGUAAUAUUUUACCGUACCCCGAUGUUCCUCCGCCCUCGCUAAUGAUCAUGUUGGCAGACUUCAUGUCUUUGCGCUCAGGACAGUCCUUGGCCCAAUGCCCAGACUUGCCACACACAAAGCAGUCUCCCUUUGCCUUUCCCUUGCCUUUCUUCUUAAAAUUGGUUGCAGCCUUGGGUUUGACAUCAGGCUUGACUUUCUUGUUGUUGUGGGAUGCAUGAGGGUUCUUCUUCUGUACCAUAUUGGCACUAGAACCUCCCUCAACCUUUUUGCCCCGGACGUCCUUUGCCCUCACCUUCUCCUCAACACCCAAAGAGCCAAUGAGAUCAGGAACACUGAACUCUUGUCUCUUGUGCUUUAGAGAAGUGGCAAAGUCCGACCAAGAAGGUGGUAGUUUGGCAAUAAUGCCACCCGCCACAAACUUGUCCGGCAACUCACAGUUGUUGUUCUCAAGUUCCUUAGCCAGCAUCUGAAUCUCAUGAGCUUGUUCUACUACAGAACGGUCAUCGACCAUCUUGUAGUCAUAGAACUGCUCCAUGACAUACAGCUCACUACCGGCGUCAGAAACUCCGAACUUGGCCUCAAGUGCAUCCCACAUGUCCUUCCCAGAAGGCAUGUGCAUGUACACGUCCACUAUGUUGUCAGUGAGUACACUGAUCAAUGCUCCACGGAACAGGCAAUCCGAAGCCUCGAACUUAGCCUCUUCCUCAGGAGAAAGAGGUGGUUCACUUCGUUUACCCCGUGAAACAUAGAAGCACUGCAUCGCUGUCAACCACAAUAGUGCACGUGCUUUCCAUCUCUUAUAGUUUGAACCAUCAAAAGCAUGUGGUUUCAGUGCAGCAGCAAAGCCAACUACCGAAAAUGACCUAUCAGGUUUUUGGAUUGUUGGAAAUAUAGUCAUUAUUCGGCAUAUUUUAAUCCAAGGAAUUGAAACUAUGAUCAUGGCAUAGAUCUUAACAUAACCAGUAGCAUACUAUGCGCAUCAUGAAUGUCAGAAACAGGAACAUACCAGUAAUGCGAUAACAUGCUAGAGGCAUCAUGUAGAACAGGAACAAGAACAUAGCGCACACAGUAUAGCGCUAACAAUGGGAACAGGAGUAGCGCUAACAGCAGUAGAAGGAGAAGAUUAUACCCCGAGAAUGGCCCUCCGCUGGAUGGUGAGGCAGAAUUGCCUCCGUUGUUGUAGUCGUUCACGGCACCUCCUCCUGGCGCACCAGCUCCGGAUCCAGCUCCUGUCGGCGUCGGCGGCGGCGCAGCUCCUGUCGGCGGCGGCGCACCACCUCCGCCAAUAGCGGCGGCAGCAACUCCAGACAUGGCGAUGAGCAGUCGUGCAGGAGGCACUCCCCAAAAACCUGAUCACCCGCCUACCCGGUGCAGAUCUCAGGCGAAGGUGUGGUUUCGGAGGCACUGCUUCUUCCAAUCUCUCGUGCGCGCAAGAGAUCAGAAGCGGGGAAGCGAGAGCAACUCAGGCGCGGAGAAGGAGAAACUAACACCGGGAAAUAAGCGAGGAACUCGGAUCGGACUCGCGGCCUCCUUAUCUAUCAGGAGAAAGAACGUGGACGCGCUGUUGCGGAGGGAAUCGUGGGAACGUGGGUUAGUGGCUGCAAAAGGAUAGCGACGUGACACCCGCCCGCCGCCAGCCACGCCACGCCUCGGCCACGGCCACGGCCCGGCGCGCGCGCGCGCGUGUGGCAUUCCGACCCCCACCUCAACUGGUCAACAGGGAGCCUCUAAUAACUCCCUAUUUAGGUUGAGAUAUUUCUCGCUUAAAUCCAGAGGUGGUAUUAUUAUCCUCAACAUUUAUUAUGGGCCUUUGAGAUUUAAUAUUAUAAGUUGGGCCUAGCCCAAUUAUUCUAACAAUGGCGGCGGUGGUGCGCCGCCGCCGACAGGAGCUGCGCCGCCGCCGACGCCGACAGGAGCUGGAUCCGGAGCUGGUGCGCCAGGAGGAGGUGCCGUGAACGACUACAACAACGGAGGCAAUUCUGCCUCACCAUCCAGCGGAGGGCCAUUCUCGGGGUAUAAUCUUCUCCUUCUACUGCUGUUAGCGCUACUCCUGUUCCCAUUGUUAGCGCUAUACUGUGUGCGCUAUGUUCUUGUUCCUGUUCUACAUGAUGCCUCUAGCAUGUUAUCGCAUUACUGGUAUGUUCCUGUUUCUGACAUUCAUGAUGCGCAUAGUAUGCUACUGGUUAUGUUAAGAUCACCCUACACUGCUUAUGCCAUGAUCAUAGUUUCAAUUUCUUGGAUUAAAAUAUACCGAAUAAUGACUAUAUUUCCAACAACAACAACUAUAAACACAAUAUUGACCUGGUCUGGUCAUGCCAUAUCCUCCUUGUCCAACUCAAACUGCAGUGCUAGUGUUAAUCAACACGAUUCAAAUUAACGAUUUUCAGCCGGUGAAGAAUCUUCUCCAUGACUGCCACGGAAGAAAACCGCCUGUCAAUGAAACACGGCGACACACAUUGUCAGUUAUCAUACUGUCAGCACACCACACAGUUCAAGUCCUGAAAAAUUGCUGCUGCAAACAUACUGAAACAGAGGAUUCAGUACGUACCACACCCUUGGCAGCGAACGUAGUAAUCCUUCUUCAUCACAAGCCCAGAGCCUCCACAGAUUUCACAUUUCUUCUGUGCAAUCUGAAAUACAGGAGAAGACAAUAAUCAAGUGAAGGACAGUAAAACUUGGUAAGGAAUGGUCUGAAACUCUGAAUGUCUGAUCGAUAAGCACUAUCCUCUUCACACUCGUAUUUCAGUGUCAAACUGUCAAUAAGAACUGUUUAAUGAACAUUAGUACUAACAACUAGCUGCUCCAUCCGUUCCCAAAUAUUUGUCACUAUUGCAUAACCCUCACUUUCAUGAUAAGUACUCCCUCCGUCCCAAAAUAUAGCAACUUUUGGUUGGAUGGGAUAAAUCUUAGUACUAACGAAUCUGGACAUGCCUCUAUGUCCCAUCUAACUAAAAGUUGCUAUAUUUUGGAACGGAGGGAGUAGUAUUUUUGCGUUCAGUUUAGAGGGGCAGCAAAGAGGACUGGAGUCUGGAGGGUGCAAUUCUACUCAGCAGAUUUCAUGCAGCUAGCGACUAGCGAGCAAGGAAACAGUAAACCAACACUCACAAUUCUCUUGCCGAACUCGACCCCGGCGACGACGAAGGGAGUCACUCCAGCUGCACAAAACCCGGUCAAUACCAUACCAUGAUCAAGCACAUCACAAUUUGUGGGAAGUGAUGAGGAAGCGAAGCCGAACCGAAGCGUACGACAACAUGGACGCACCUACAGCGCCGACGACGAUCUGCCACGUGAUCUGCGGGGGCGGGACGUCCGCCGCGGCGGACGCCGCCGCGGCGGCAACGGCCGCAGCGGCGGACGGCCCGUCCACUGCGCGAGCGACGGCGCCCCGGCCGGCGGGAGCGGGAGCGGCCCUCCUGCCGACGACGCUGCCGGCAGCCGGGAAGAGGUCGCCGCGCCCGGGGACCGCCAGGCCAGGCAGCGGGCCACUGCCCGGCAGGCAAGGGGGAGCAAAAGCACGAGGCCGCAUCGCCGCCACAAUCUGCACGGGCUCUGCUUCUGGUUGGUCGGGCGAGCGUCCACUUGUAUUCGUUCUGGCAGUGCUAGCCGGGAGCGAGGCUCUAUGGCCUCUACCACACGAUGCUUCUUUCCACGAUAAAUACUCUAUCCACCAUAAAUACUCCGAGUUUCCAACAUCAAAUUUAUCCACAUUGUGAGGCUUGGCGAGGGGUGAGGAUUUUUUAAAAAAAUUCUUUUUGCCAACACUUUGCUUACUCACAAGUCCAUAACUACAUAGGAGUAUUCACAAUUCCAGAUAAAACUAAAAAUUCCCGAGUUGUAGAGUUCACCUUGUUACGCCGCACGAGAUUGCAGCAAUCAACAAAAUAUUAUUACGCCCGGAACUCAUGUGAGCGAAUACCAAACAAAAUUCUUUUAAUGACAUGUUCCUCACUUGAUCGAAUGUGCUUUGAUCAUAAAAUUCCAGCGUAAUUUGGUUAGAUACCUAUCCCUCGGUACGAAUAAGAAAAAAGGGGGGGGGGGAACGUGCAAUAACUAUCAAAGUAAAAGGUAUCUCUGGGACCCAAGUUGACAAAAUUACAAUUCCGAAAUUAAAAGGCUCACUCAGAACUCAGAACAGAGGUGUCGUGCCUGUAAAGUGUUGUAGAUUACUCAGAUUUCCUUCCAAAAGAUCUAUAAUCAUCUCCGCCAUAAGCGGCCCUGAUGCUUUUGCUCCUGCAUGCGCCUACAAAAAUGGCAGAUUAUGUUCGUUAGGUUGUGGUAAAAAUGUGGCUUGCAACACAUUUUUUUCCAUGUCCAGGUUAAUGUGAAACAGAUAGUUUGUUCGUUUACAUCAGAGAAUCCACAACGAAAUGCUCGUUGCCAAACAAGAAAGAAAAAUGUCUUGUAGUUACAAGCAUAACAGCAUUUCCUAUAUUCGAGCAUUCGCACAACUAUAACUCUAUAUUAACAAUAUUGAAGAAUAAUAUCGUGUGAAAAACAUAUAAAAUAUACGGUGAUUUUAAUUAAUAUUUUUAAAAUUUUGAGUAUUAGCAUGAGAAAAAAAAAUAUAAAGGCCAACAUUUUGGGAUAGUACGAUAUGAAUAUAAAUGGAAGGUCAGUUUAAUAAAUAUUUUAAUGUAAAAGCAGAGCAUAAGAAUUUUUUUUAUUCAAUGUAGGGGAUCUAUUUGAUAUUUGCUAACUAAAUAUAACUACAUAAAUCAACAUAAAAAUUAAUUUUCUGUUCUCUUCCUUUUUAAUUUUAUUUGGUUUGCAGGUGAAUCGAGCUGGCUAGCUAAGUAGUACAUUCAUCGUAAAAUAAACCUACUUUUAUACAUAAAUGUUGACAUAACCUAUGUUGAGAUUUAUAUGCAUAAAAUAAAUAAAUAUUUUUUUAUAUUAAUAUGGAUAUAGAUUACGAAUAAUGUAUAAAAAUAGUUUAUUUAGGCACAAAUCCUAUUGUUAGUAGGUGAUGAUGUGACAUGGUUACGUGUUGAGCUUUAGGAGUUAAUGGAUACCAACUUUAUACUAAGAUACUCCAUCCAUUCCAUAAUAUAAGGCACAACCACUUUUUUAGAUGUUCCAUAAUACUACCUCCGUUUUUUAAUAGAUGACGCCGUUGACUUUUUCUCACAUGUUUGACCAUUCGUCUUAUUCAAAAAUUUUAUGCAAAUGUAUAAGAUAUAAAUCACACUUAAAGGACUAUGAGUGAUAAAACAACUCAUAACAAAAUAAAUUAUAAUUACGUAAAUUUUUUGAAUAAGACGAAUGGUCAAACAUGUGAGAAAAAGUCAACGGCGUUAUCUAUUAAAAAAUGGAGGGAGUAUAAGAAAUGCAUGCAUGUAGGCAAUUAAUUAUGACCCCUUCUCCAUUAAAUUAUUACUUUUUUAAAUCCUCCACUCUCAUGUUCUCUAAUUCUAUUGGAUGCAUGCAUUGUAUUUAUUAGGAUAAUCCAAACUACAAGAUGAUAAUAAUUAUUUUCUUGGUUUUUGGGUUAAGGGUGGUUAUGACUUAUAUUUUGGAAUGGAGGGAGUAGGAUACGGCAAAAAUUGAAAAGGGUACGGGUACAUAUAGUUCUUUCUGUACUCUUCCUGCUAUUCUCAUUCUCAAGAGUGUUGGAAGGGUCCAGAGUUUUAACGGUAAUGUUUGCUUUUUGACUGCUCCUGCUCUCUUCGAUCCAACGGUCUUUUUUCAUUUCAAUUGUGCAUCUGAUGAGUCAUACUUGUUUGAUGGCGUGGCUUAUUCUGGUGCAAUCCAUGGAUUUACUUUCACUUGAGAAGAUUAGCAUCAGCUACAACUAUUUGAAGAUUAUGGAAAGCAUCUGCUUACCUCUGGUGCUCCUUUGAACGCUCAAUAAACUCAGCAGGUAUAUCACGGCCUUGAUAGGACGCAAGAACAGCCCUGAUAUCCGAAGGUCUUGCCAUAGCAACAUCUGCCGCACAGAUUGACAAGAAUGAAAAACAGAAAUACCAAGGAUGCAAGUGGGGCAAUCAAGCAUGCUUCAAAAACCACAGGAAUGAAAUAAUAUGAGGGGUUAGUUGGCUAAUGCACUUGCAUUCCUAAGAACCACAAAAAUGGAAAAAAAAAAUAACUGGAUGACAGGAUAAUAAGAGAAAUUGAUUAAAAGUCUUACAUUCAAGAAAGGGAAUAAGAUCAAGCAGUUGAGUGUCAUCAUUUUCAAGCUUCCAAGGUUUGAUCUCAACACAAUUUUCAGGCUGCAGGCAUGAUUCCAGAGCAUGCCCACUGAUAUAAAUGACUUGUGCGGGAUUUCUGUUUAGCUUUGAUAAAUCCUGUAAAUGACAACAUAACAUAAAAGACACAAAAAAAAAGUUAUAUGCUGCAAAAAUACAGCUGCCCAGGUGUUUUAAUUACAAAAGAAUAAUAUUGCCUCGUACUCCCUCCGUUUCACAAUGUAAGUCAUUCUAGCAUUUCCCACAUUCAUUAACAUCAAUAUGAAUGUAGGAAAUGCUAGAAUGACUUACAUUGUGAAACGGAGGAAGUAGAUUAUACUACCUACAUCCCUAAAAGAUAGUCUUCUUGGUUAUGAUACUUUAGUUUUAAGAAAACAAAUCCAAGUUCAAAUUCAAAGUAGGAUUUGUCAAGGAAAAAAGAACACCUAACUGUCAGCAAACUGUUCGGUGAGCAGCUUAUCAGCACUUAGAUAAACAACAUGGUCCAUGGUUGAUUUCUAUGGUGGAAAUAAGCGCAAAACAAAAGCACCAUAAUCAAGAGUAGGCUGCAAGCUGAUCCUAUUCACCGUGCCCAUCAUAAAUGGAAAUAGUUAAACAGCUUAGAAAAUAAAUGCCUGUGUAAUAGCUAACAAUGACCAAUACAUGUCAAGCUCAAGGAAGGAAACCUUAUACUGCAAAUUUCCAAAAGUUUAAAAGCAUUAAAGGCCAUUGAAGAAAUUGUAGAUACAGGGUGAUCCAGACUUUGGACUUACACUGUUAACUUUAAGUAACAGUCAUGAGCAAUAGAACAUGCAAUGAUAUUUACCCCAGCCAAAUAAUGCUACCAGCUACUAGUUCACACCUUAUGUAAAGUAUUUGUUGCAAGAAAAGUCUAAGAUGACAGCAACCUGCUGAGAAGAACAACUGACGAUGUCAUAAGGAGAGGGAGCUUUUCGAUAGGUGCCGUGCAGUUCAAAGAGUUAGUUAGCAGUAGGAUGAAGAUUUUUGCACAUGGCAAUGAGAAGUUAAUUAUGGUGUAGGCAACCCAAAUGAAACACCAAAAUAUGCACAAGACAGUUUGUUGUAUUCUGUAGUACAGAAUAAACUAAAGUAAUGAAAGAAGAUGGUGUUAGAAAAUGAAACAAUAUUAUGAGUAAUGUGUGAGCAUUAUGGGACCACGAAAUAAAAAAAGAACAUUUUUAUGAGCAGUGUGUUCUCAAUGAGCCUUGAAUGUUAUCACCCAGGAUAAGAAACCCUUAAGCAAUGAAACAUGCAAGCGUUUAAUGUGCAAAGUUGGCAUUCUCCACGACAUAAUGCAAAAGAAGAUAUAAUCUAUGACAUAGCAAGUCAUGCAUCAUUUCAUGCCUCUGUCAACCUAUUCAUUUCUAGUCAUCUAGGUAAGUAUCUUAAGCUAAAGUGUUAGAACUUCCCAUACAUAAGUCAUAACUGAUGACAAUUGGGUGUAACACAUGACAAACCAGAGAGUCAAGCAAGAUAAAGCAAAAGGAUGUGUACAUAAAACUACAGAGCUAUAUGUCAUGUUGCGAAAAGAGGAGAGCUUAUAAGACAAGCCAUGACUCAAAAAAAAUUCACAUGCCUACUGUGGCCCAUAUAUCAUGCAACAAUCCAAAAACUCACAGGUCUCGGUGUUGAUCGUGUCAACAUGUGACCACCCUAAAAACUCUUCACUAAAUAUUAAAGUAUUGCUAGAACAGAGCUUCAAGAUAUAAGUCAUGAUCACCAACAACCAUGUUCAAAAAGAAAUAGAAAGCUAUGGCACAGCAACAAAAAGCAAAAGCAUGCAUGGAUAUAAUCUUUAACAUCAUCCAUGUCAUAUUGCAAAAGAAAGAAAGAGAGAACAAUACAAAUGAUGUGUCAAUUACACAUCCAUCAUUAUCCAUCCACCUUCCGUGUACCACACUUCAUAUAUCAUGAGUCACUUCAUGUCUGGACAUUAACAAACUCUAUCUUAACAUUCAAAUGCAUGAGACUUUAUCUCACUAUAAAUGCACAAUGAUUUAGCAUUGUUUCUCACAAAACCAUUCAAGUUCAUUAGUACUACAACAACAUGGCAUCCAUAAAUCGCCCCAUAGUUUUCUUCACAGUUUGCUUGUUCCUCUUGUGCAAUGGCUCUCUAGCCCAGCAGCUAUUAGGCCAGAGCACUAGUCAAUGGCAGAGUUCUCGUCGUGGAAGUCCAAGAGAAUGCAGGUUCGAUAGGUUGCAAGCAUUUGAGCCAAUUCGGAGUGUGAGGUCUCAAGCUGGCACAACUGAGUUCUUCGAUGUCUCUAAUGAGCAAUUUCAAUGUACCGGAGUAUCUGUUGUCCGUCGAGUUAUUGAACCUAGAGGCCUUCUACUACCCCAUUACACUAAUGGUGCAUCUCUAGUAUAUAUCAUCCAAGGUUCGUGCAACAAUUUAAGUGCAUAAUGAAUUAAUGAUCAGCUUCCAUGUUUAUAUUGCUUGUAAUUAACAUGCAUGCCAUACUUUCAGGGAGAGGUAUAACAGGGCCAACUUUCCCAGGCUGUCCUGAGUCCUACCAACAACAGUUCCAACAAUCAGGCCAAGCCCAAUUGACCGAAAGUCAAAGCCAAAGUCAAAAGUUCAAGGAUGAACAUCAAAAGAUCCACCGUUUCAGACAAGGAGAUGUAAUUGCAUUGCCUGCUGGUGUAGCUCAUUGGUGCUACAAUGAUGGUGAAGUGCCAGUUGUUGCCAUAUAUGUCACUGAUCUCAACAACGGUGCUAAUCAACUUGACCCUAGGCAAAGGGUAAUUAAGCAGAACUUUUCCAAAGCUAAACAUUUUUACUACUAUUUUGAUAUUUUUAUUCCACUUAUCUUAGAUGAUGAUUUAGCCUUUUAAUCAACUGUUAGGAUUUCUUGUUAGCUGGAAAUAAGAGAAACCCUCAAGCAUACAGGCGUGAGGUUGAGGAGCGGUCACAGAACAUAUUUAGUGGCUUUAGCACUGAACUACUUAGCGAGGCUCUUGGCGUAAGCAGCCAAGUGGCAAGGCAGCUCCAAUGUCAAAAUGACCAAAGAGGAGAAAUUGUCCGUGUCGAACACGGGCUCAGUUUGCUGCAGCCAUAUGCAUCAUUGCAGGAGCAGGAACAAGGACAAGUGCAAUCAAGAGAGCGUUAUCAAGAAGGACAAUAUCAGCAAAGUCAAUAUGGAAGUGGCUGCUCUAACGGUUUGGAUGAGACCUUUUGCACCCUGAGGGUAAGGCAAAACAUCGAUAAUCCUAACCGUGCUGAUACAUACAAUCCAAGAGCUGGAAGGGUUACAAAUCUCAACACCCAGAAUUUCCCCAUUCUUAGUCUUGUACAGAUGAGUGCAGUCAAAGUAAAUCUAUACCAGGUAAAAUGAACAGCACAUUUUUUUCUUGGUAAAAGCUUUAAUGCACACAAUAUGCUAAUGAUGUGCACCUUUUCUAUUGCAGAAUGCACUCCUUUCACCAUUUUGGAACAUCAACGCUCACAGCGUCGUGUAUAUUACUCAAGGCCGUGCCCGGGUUCAAGUUGUCAACAACAAUGGAAAGACAGUGUUCAACGGCGAGCUUCGCCGCGGACAGCUGCUUAUUAUACCACAACACUAUGCAGUUGUAAAGAAGGCACAAAGAGAAGGAUGUGCUUACAUUGCAUUCAAGACCAAUCCUAACUCUAUGGUAAGCCACAUUGCAGGAAAGAGUUCCAUCUUCCGUGCUCUCCCAAAUGAUGUUCUAGCAAAUGCAUAUCGCAUCUCAAGAGAAGAGGCUCAGAGGCUCAAGCAUAAUAGAGGAGAUGAGUUCGGUGCAUUCACUCCAAUCCAAUACAAGAGCUACCAAGACGUUUAUAAUGCGGCAGAAUCCUCUUAGGUCGGCUUGCGGAUAAAGAAUAACUAAAUAAAUAAAUUGCAAGCAAUUGUUUUGCUGCUAUGUACUGUCCAGUCUUUCGACUAAUGAUGAUAAAGCCUCUCUUUAUCCUUAUGUUUGUUCUUUACUUCUACAGUAAUGUUCGAAAAUAAGCAAUUGUUUUGUUCUGUAAUCCAUAAAAAUAUAACACCCCUUUAAGUAGUUAUUUGAAUGACCCACCAUAAAAUUAAUACGCAUGCCACGGCUAUCAAGGUUCCACUGCACCGAAGCAUUUAGGGAAGCUCACCGCACUGGUCUUCUUACUUCACAGGAGAAGGGCAAAGGCCUUGGCCAAGAUGCAGAUAAGAAAUGACUACUCCAAUUCAAAGAUUUUAUUACAUUCAAUGAACAUUGGAAGGAAAAUUUUAAUAGGAGUACGAAAAAAAACCAGAAUUAUUUACAAUACAAUAUAAACCCAUCAUGUUGGAUUGAUAUGAUUUGUAGACAUUUUUACUGUAUAAGAGGAAACUAUACAAGAUAAAACAUGAUGUGUUCUCUCGGUCAUGAAAGCCAGAUCCCAGAGAGCAAAGUGGACAAAGUGGUAUAUGCUUAAUGCAUGGACAGAAACAACUUUGUCAUAACAUCAAUUUUCACUCCUGCCAGUUAUUUGAAGAACAUAAAACACAUUCUAAUCCAUCUCAUGCAUACAUAUGCGUAGCAUACAGUUAGUUACUCAAUAAUCACAAUACUAUCCAAAAAAACAUAGAACAAGCUAGUGUGCAACUUAGCUUACCAAAAGGGUGCUUAAAGGAUAAAUAUAUGAAACUGUUUCAACCAGUGUAUAAUACAACUAAGAGAACAGAUGAUAAGAGCAUAAGACUACCAUACCCGAUAGUGUUUUCCAUUUUCAUAUUUAGUUGCAACUCUUGAUAACCUGUGCUGAACACAGCCCUUUGGAUCCAGUCUUUCAAUAACAGGAUCAACAUACUGUCCAUGUAAAAAAAGUUCAUCUGGGUUUAUAUAUUUUUCAGAAACAACCAAAUUGUUGAGGAAAUUCUGGUAAACCUACCAUACUCAGCUGAUCAGAGUACACAACAAUUUCAUAGAAUUUUCCAAGAUGUUCCAAAAAGGCAUCCACUCCUGGCCUCUUAAAAGUUCUCCAUCCUCGCUCACGCUAUACAUACAUAAAAGAAAUUAUGGGUCAAGCAGCCUCCCAAGGGUCAUAAACAUUUUAUACUAUAUGAUAUGCAUGCUUGAAAACUUAACUAGAAAACAUAAGGACUUCCACAAUAGUUUGGCAAUUUUGCAGUAGACAUACAGAAAGUGAUUACCCUUCUCUAGAGAGAGAGCACAAAAAGACGGUAUAUAUUGUUUCUUAGGAAGUUUAAAUUUAGAUCAAAGUUGAUAUAGGAGAACAGAGAUACAAUUGAUAGAUGAGUGAACUGAAGAAAAAUGAUCACAAGCUUCCAAUCGAACAAGCAAAUAAGUAAAACCAUUUUAAAUAACCAUCCCUUUUUAGAUCAAUCUGAAUGGGGAUUACGAUACUUAGGGCCUGUUUGGAUCUCUGGUUGUACCAAGAGUCCAAGACUAGAUCUUGUAAAAAAAAGAUUUUAGAGGCUAACAACCUAAAACUUUGUUUGGAUCACAUAACAUAUUUAUUAUGUGUCCCAAACGAAAUUUAAUAAGGCAUUAGGUUCUCAAAUCCGUGUAACAAAACAGUUCUGGUAAAACCAGAGAAUCAGAGAUCCAAAACAAAAUCAGCAUGAGCACUUUCGAGUUAUGCCAUACAGCACAGAUGGUAAAGUUCAAGUGCAAAUUUGUGGAGAGACGGGGAAGCCAGAGCGUUAAGAGUUUGCGUAACUGUUAGGAUUGGGUCAUAUUGUAUACUACAUAAGGACUACAUAUCAAAUACCAAGAUAAGUAACUUCGUAGAAAACAUAAAUGUUCACCUUCCAAUCUGAGUAUACAAGAGUCUCAUUCAGAUCCAGAACUAGGGUGAAGACAUGCUGCUCUUGAGGAAGUAGAUCCGGAAGAAGUUUAUCUGAUGAUGGUUCACUAAAGCCCUUUAAUAAAAAUGAGUAUUAGCAUGAUCUGCACGUCUGUUCACAAUAGCCAACAUGGAUAAUGGAGAACAAAAGAUUUAAUAUUUUUUACUGACCCGAAUUUGAUCUUCUAUUUGGCUCCUGGUAUCCAAAUAGAACUCAAUAGCAGCAACAGGAACUGCAAAACAAAACAUAUGUGUUUAAGAAUUGAGACGCAAAGAAAAGGAACAACAAUAAUUAUGCCAUGCAAACAGGAGGAUAACAAUUUAUAGUACAUGAAAGGGUUAAAUGACGAACCCCUGCUAUCUAGGGCACUCAUACCAUGCUUCUUCCCUGUGGUGUAUGUUUGUCUAGAGCCAUAGAGCGCUCUAGACAAUGCAUCAAUUUACUAGAUAUUUAACAAACAGCUUUGUACCAAAGACACAUGCCCUCCGUAGCAACUAGGUGCAGCGCAUGUAAAUAGUAUAAUGGUUAGAUCACAGUUGCUCUAGCUAACUGAUUGUUACACAAAGUGGGUAUUCCCUAGCUAUUUUACACGAGAUUAUAGUACCCCUAGUUUUUUUUUCCAGUUGUGAAGUUUGGGUUACAUAUUUGGAAUUUAUUGUCAGCUUAACAACAGCACCAUGCAUACAGUAAAGUAGAUCUUUCUGACUACCAUUACUUUAGUGCAUACAAAAUUAUAUUUCAGAGAGUGACAAGGCUUAGUUAUUCACUGUGAAGCAGGGUAAAUUUCCCUAAGGUUGGCUGCAAACAAGUAUUUUACAAAGAAAAAAUAACAUGUAAUGGUAAAUUGCUCCUGAUGUGGAUGAAGAAAGGUAUGCAUGACAUGUUGAAACUCUAUAAUCCCGAGGUAAUAUGGUAAGAUAAUGAAGGAGUCAUGUGGUCAGAACCUUUCAUAGCUGCUGAAUAAGCCAUAGCCUGAAACUUCUGCAGAGAGGAAGCAAAUCGUCUAUUAGACAUGGCUGAAAUCCAAAUUCUUUAACCCAAUUCAGAAAUUUAGCUUUUAUCCAUACUCUCAGAAUGCAGGUCUACAAUAGAACAUAUUGUGUCGUACUAGAAUAACUUUUAGUUUCAGAUGCCCAAAUCUCAACUACCCUAUAGCUGUGUACAAAUAUUCACCCCAUGAAACCAAGUUUUUUUACACAGGAAAUCAGAAUUAUGCGGUCAUAUUUCCAAGGGCAUCACUGCUUACUUAUGCAGUCACGCUACUAACCAGCUAGCGACAAGUUAUCACACACCCAAACAUGACAUAUUGACAUGCUACCAUAUUACCUCGAAACCGGACAGGUCAUCACGGAUGGGCUGCUUCGAGUUCUUCCGGAACUCCCGCGUCCUCUGAUCAAUUUCAUCCAGAGAAUAAGCUACACAAGACAAAAACACGAGCACGAAUCAUACGCACAGCACCAAACCGAACCCCUCCCACUUUAAAAUUGAGAAUGGUAGUAGAAACACUGCAAUGCGAAGUAGCAGGGCCGAGAGGCAUCUAGGAGUUUUAGGGAUCAGAGAUCGCACCAUAGCUGACGUAGCCUGUGGCGCCGAACGCGGCGGCGACAACCGCGAGGACGCCGCCCUUGAGCAGGCCCAGCGGCUUGCGGGCCGGCGGGGGCGGCGCGGACGAGGGAUCGCCCGCGGAGGACGAGUAGUCCGUGGCGGCGGCCGCGUCGGAGGCGGCGACGGCCGCCGCAGCCGCCGCUGGCUCUGACGCGGGGGAGGCGGCGGAGAAGGAGCGGGCGGAGAUCCUGGGGAGGAGCGGGACGAGGAGGCGCGACCUCGCGACGCCGUCCAUGGCGUGGUGGCCCAGCGAGAGGAGGGGGAGAGGACCUCGGUGGGUGGGCUCGGGUUUUGGUUUUGCUUGGAGAAGACGAAUAGAGGGUUUAAGCAGGGAGAGAGGCGGCCGAGCGCGAGAUGGCGAGGAGCCGAGGAAGGGGGAGGGGGGAGACGGCGGAUAGGCGAAAGCGGAAGGAGGUGGAGCCGUGGAGGCCUGGAGGGGAGUCAAGAGUGUUCCGAUGUGGCCCACUUGUCAGAGAGUGGCCACUUUUUAACGAGUGGGCAUAUACGCCUACACGAUACUCUUCUGUUUCAGGUGGGCCACAGCCCAUUAGAAGUGAGCCAUAAACGCUGGCCAUUAUGGGCCGAGACAAAGAUUUGAGGGCUUCUUUGGUUGGCUUGGGUUGGUUGGUUGCCUAAGCCAACCCUACCAAAUUUUGUAUUUCUAAAUGGAAUAAGUCCAUUUUGCCUCUCUCAUGUCUUGCGCUUGUGUGAAUAACAUCCCUCAACCGGAAAACUGGGUAUAACGCCUCCUUCUUCUCUGAAAACCAGAGCAAAUCACCUCCCUCGGCGGUUUCGGAGACGGUUUUGUCCUACAUGGCAGCUGAGUCAACUUGUGGGUCCCACUUGUCAGCAACUUAUCUCCUCUUCCUCUAUUAUCUUUUCCAUCCCCCGUGGCAGCUGCGAGAUGAGUGCCGAAUGGAGGACGCCGUCCGGGGGAUCUAGCGGCGUCAUCUCAUCGGAACUCUACUGCAAGAUUUGCCGAAACGUGAUGGCCGACGCGGUGCUGGCGAGCAAGUGCUGCUUCGACAGCUUCUGCGACUGGUGCAUCCGGGACCACAUCGCCGCCAAGUCCAAGUGCGCGUGCGGGGCGCAGGCGUGCGUCGACGACCUGAUCCCCAACCCAACGCUCCGCACCACCAUCGCCAACGUUCUCGCCACCACCAGCGGCACAGCGAGCGUUUCAAGUGGAACCGAGAAGCCAAGGAGCUCCGCCAGCAGCAACGCGACAGAGGCGGCGCCGCAGAGCCUGGCCGCUUCGCAGGUGAGCCGCAGUAACGUGUCUUCCAAGAAAAGCGCCACGAUCUCAUCAGGUGUCCUCGGACCAAGAAAGGCGUGGGAGACGGUGGCGGGUGACCACUCCACAGAAUAUGGAGCCCUCGCCGUCGACGGCGAUCACCACGGCAGCUAUGGCUUCCCGUUCGGCCCGGCGCCAGGCUACGUCGACCCCUUCUUCGGCGUCGGCGUGCCAUUCGGAGCUGAUCCUUACAUGUACUACGGCGUGCCUUACGGCUGUUGUGGUGCUGCUUACGGCUACUACGGCGACGAGGAUCGCCGUGACACGAAGAGGACGCGCCUACGAUGAUCACACGUCAUCGGCCAAUUGUUGCCUGCUGCCCCAACGCAAGAUUGGAUGGCGACACUACCAGUCGCUGCCGGCGCAGCGAGAAGAGUGCCGAAUGUUGGAUGGAGGACGCCGAAGCGCGGGAAGGUCAUGGUGGCGGCGUUCUGGCUCCGUCCACGUCGGACUAGCGACGCGUGGUCGACGACCCCUGUGCUGCAUCCUACCAUGCCAACUUUGCGUAUCCGUCGGCGUCCAUCUUCGCCAGGAUGCCGGGGAAGGAGAAGAAGAGGCGGCGGCGAGGCCGAAGAGGCGAGGAUAGGGAUGAGGUGGCGGAGGAGGGGCGUGGGAGGGGAGGCAGCGAGCUCCCGCCGCCCCGUCACUCCUGCCGCUCUCGUCGCCCCGCCAUUCCGCCGAGCUUCCGCCGCCCUGUCGUUCCCGCCGCCCCGCCAUUCCGCCACUCCGCCGAGCUCCCGCCGCCCCGCCUCUCCCGCCGCUCCACCGAGCUCCUACCGACCUCCCGCCGCCCCGACUCUCCCGCUGCUCCACCGAGCUCCCACCGCCCCGCUGCUCCGCCAAGCUCCCGCCGCCCCGCCGCUCCACCGAGCACCCGCCGUCCUGCUGCCGCCGAGCUAGCUCUCUCCAUCUCGCUUGCCGUGAGGAUAAAGAGGAAGGGGAAAGGUAACUGACAUGUGGGCCCAAUAUUUUAUUUUUAUUGUUUUACUCACUAACAUGUGGGUCCUAUUUACAUUUGUUUUUAUUUUAGUGCCACGUAAGCGCCACGUCGAUGCCAUAUGGAAGUCAACCCGCCACGUAGGACAAAACCACCUCCGAAACCGCCGAGGGAGGUGAUUUGCUCUGGUUUUCAGAGAAGAAGGAGGCAUUAUACCCGGUUUUCCGGUUGAGGGAUGUUAUUCACGCAAGCGCAAGAGAUGAGGGAGGCAAAAUGGACUUAUUCCUUUCUAAAUUAUGGUACACUUUUGGACUGCUAUUUUUUUUAGGUUGUGUUGUGAGUUGUGACGAAAAUGCUUCUUAUCAGACAUCCGACGCCCGACAAAAAAUCGAACAUUCCGUCGGAGCAAGCAAAACGUAGCACGAAAAUGGAUUAUUUAUGGUGGAGAUAAUGGCAGCAUGCAACAAAGCAUGGAAGGAUGUGAUGUGAUGAGCUGCAGCAUGCAAUGGAUAUGAUGUAACCAACUAUUAGCUUUUUAUCUCUCCCACCUCCUUGUUUAAAAUGAUUUUUCUUCUAAACAAUUUAUCUAAUCUAUAAUUUUAUUAUACAAUUAUGUUUCUUAUGAUUAAAUCUUUACAAUGACAUCUCGUUUGACUAUAUUCUAAUAAAAAGUAUGUAUAUGUUUCAAUUGUUUAUAUUUGAUGUUUCAUGCAUAUGAGCAAAAUGUUUCAACAAGCAUUUUACUGUGUUGCACGUAUCGACACUAUUUGGCCGAGAGAAUUGAACGAUCUAGAUAUUUACGUAUACAUGUUCCUACACAUGUAGAAGAACAAAUAAAUAAGGAAAAUAAUAUUGUUAAAUCCUAACUAAAAUAUUUUUACAUUAUACAUGACAUCGACUUAUAAUUGUUGAAACAUUACAAAACAUUUGUUGAAAUAUCCCAAGAAUACCAUGUGCAACAUUUCAAAUGAAUAAGUGAAACAUAAGAAAAUAGUUAUUAAACCAUCCAAACAACACCAUGUGCAACAUUAAAAUUAAAUAAAUAUCGCAACAAAGAAAACUUAAAAUCUGCAACAAACUCGAAUUUCAUGUGAAACAUUUGCUUCCCUCGCAUGAAACAUCAAAUUUCACUAGUUGGAACAUAUAUAUAUAUAUAUAUAUAUAUAUAUAUAUAUAUAUAUAUAUAUAUAUAUAUAUAUAUAUAUAUAUAUAUAUAUAUAUAUAUAUAUAUAUAUAAUCAAAAUAUAUUCAUGUGACAUCUUAUUGUAAAGAUUUAAUUGCUAUAAGUAUAACGACGUAAUCAGAUGGUAGAUCAGAUAAAGAAUUUAAGAGGAAAAAUUGUUUAUAGGUUGUUGAUAAAGUGGUCAUAGAGGAGAGAGAGUGGUGAAGAGAGUAAUCAUGUAGGAAUAAGCACCGAUGAAAUCGAUAGGGCAGAUUCGUUCGGUGCAUGCAACAAUGGUAGGUACUGGGGUAUGUCCGAUUUUUUUUAAUUCUCCAUACAUCCGACGCGUAGUCUUCCCUAAGUUGUGACCCAACGUCAUGAACAUAAUGGGGAUAGAUGAGGAAGUGUUUCCCUCGCCUAUCCUUGUAACGAGAUGAGCUUGAUAUGAGUCAAAUGACACUCAUGAUCGCUAUUUCAGUAAAGUAUAAAUCGUGUUGCUAUAUAAUUAGAUCGGCUUAUAUAGCCAUGGUAGUUACAUGCGAAGUUACAUGGAUAAUCCAAAGGACUAGAAACCCUAGGGAACUUGUAAGAGAAUAUUCUUGCUGGGUAACGUAGCCGCCAAGCUUCUUCUCCAUCCUCCACGCACCGCUUGCCUUUCUAUAACAAGCUUGAAUACUAUUUGCCCAAUUAACAUGUUUCCGUCCAUAGCAACUUGAACUCUUUUUUUGUCACCUGCUUUGAAACUCAGGAAUAUGCCCAUCAAGGCCUGAAGUCGUGUCUUGGUCGAAUAGGAGGUAUGACACCUAGUCCUCACUGCUACAACAAGUAGUACGUGUUUCGGUAAAUCUGGUUCAGAACAUUUAAUAAUUGCAGUACUAUAUUUAGUGGUGGACAUUUUCAAAAUUAUCAUUUUUUGUAAGAUAUCACUGUGUAAAAUACAUUUGGUGGUCUUGGAAAUUUAGGUAGCAUUUGGCUAGCUGUGAAGCACCAUAAGUAACACCAAAAUUUAGUAGGAUAACAUUGUCAAAAAUAUGUUUGCUAUGUUAUUGAUAGUUUUCUAACUAGGAACCAUCGAUGAUGUGUUAGUGAUGUCAUAGGUGCAUAAUCUUGUAUUCUAAGGUUUUAAAUCCUAAUGUCCAUAGAUAUUGCGCAAAAGUUGUAGCAGUUACGCCACUAGCCUCUUCUGUUUGAGCGUGUGUUAGCUGUUCACAAGGAUGUGUGAUCGUGAUGUGUGUACGUGAUGACGUGUGUGCAUGUGUGUCUUUCAAGUUAUUGGAAAAGACAUACUUCUUCCAUUCCCAAAGAAAAACUAAACAUCGUACUAGGAUAUGACAAAUCUGGACACAUGCAGUUCUAGAUUCGUUUUUUUUAUGGAUGGAGUAUUUACUAACUACUCCACAUCCAUCAUGACCAUAUUCAAAUCCAUUCGAGACAAAAAUAUGUUUGUUAUGUUGUUGAUAGUUUUCUAACCAGGAACCAUCGAUGAUGUGUUAGUGAUGUCAUAGGUGCAUAAUCUUGUCUGCUAAGGUUUUAAAUCCUAACGUCCAUAGAUAUUGUGCACAAGUUGUAGCUUUAUCAAUUAGAAUUUAUUAUUGAUGUCGCAGUUACGCCGUUAGCCUCUUCUGUUUGAGCGUGUGUUAGCGUGUUUGCGAGGAUGUGUGACUGUGAUGUGCGUGCGUGAUGACGUGUGUGCAUGUGUGUCUUUCAAGUUAUUGGAAAAUACAUACUUCUUCUGUUCCAAAAGAAAAAUCAAAUAUCGUACUAGGAUAUGAUGAAUCUGGACAGUUCUAGAUUCAUUUUUUUAGAACAGAUGGAGUAUUUACUAACUACAGAACUUCACAUCCAUCAUGACCAUAUUCAAAUCCAUUCGAGACAAAAAUGUUUGUGCAUUUUUCGGUGUCCGGUCACCUUCUUCUCCUAUCGUCCUCUCGAUGUCAGUUAAUCAAUAGAAUUGGCUCAUUAGCAUAUAACUACGUAGCUAGUAAAACCUGCUUCAACCUGUUCAAGAAAAAAAAACAUAUUCAAGAAAAGAAAUGCCCCAACUAAAUUCAUUUGUGCCAAGAAAUGUCACCAUGGAAUCCAAAGCUCAAAGAGACCAUUACGUCAGCACCAUGGAAGCACCCGACCAGACCACGCGGUGGCCACGUCAGACGCAUUGACCUAUGCACCAGAGAAUAUAGCAUGACGGCCUCGUCUUCCUUUAUAAAAACCGUAUCAAGUUCAGCCUCGUGACAGUGACCAUCAGGCCUGCGUCCGCUCGAUAACAGAUGAGAAUUAGUAAGACGGGGUCCUACUACGGCGACAACGAUGGGAGAAACGCGCGUCCGUGACCGUCCGAACCGGCGUCGCGUACGAGCAAAACUGGACGGCUGAGUGACCGGUUUAGCAACUCCUUAACACCGAAAGAGUGUCGGUCUCCGAUUACGCCGAAAGGGCAUCCUGCUACCACGCUACUAUCAAUCCAUUUCUCUUUUCCGUCUUUAUAGCUUUUCUCACGGAACAUCAAUGAUGCGAAAUGAGAUUUACAAUUGCACCAUUUCUUUUGCUUUCAGCUCUCGAUGAGUGAAUCUAGCUUUCUAAAGCGGGAUGAAGAGGAGAAUUUUGAGGCUCGAGGAGGAUUGGCAGACUCGCAUAUUCUUCGAGCGUAAGUAUAGCUUAACUGCUUAAGACUCUCGCCUUCAUCUUCAUGGCGUUACAGCGAACCUGCGUUGCAUCAACUCAAAGCAAGACGCGAUCAUAAUGGAAGUCGAUACCGAGUAGUACUAGGACGAAUUUAUGCCAUGUUUUUAUUGAGAAUGGUAUUGUACACCCCGGACCACAACGGAGGCGGAAUCCUACGCUAACACAGAGCCCACGGCCGCACCGUACACCGGGGGUGGCACGCACUUCCAGGUGGGCCCAUGCUGGCGAUUACCCCACACAACCCCACCGCCGCCCGGCGACGAGGCGCCGCUGAUUCCGCCGGCCGCCCGCGCCACGCCCGCCACCCUCGAUUUUCUAGAUCUCCGGCUCCGGAGGCACGUCCACGGCGGCCUCCGCCGCCUCCGGGGGGUGGUGCUCCGGGCGGCACCCGGCGACGAAGUCGAUGAGCUCCUUGCCGGACUCGUCGAUGGUGCUGGAGGGGGGCGGCGAGAUCCGGAGCAGGACGGCCACGGCCACGAGGAAGAACCCCGUGGAGACGAGCAGCGGCCAGAAGAAGGAGACCACGGCGCCGAGCCUGGGCCCGAUGGCGGAGAUCGACACCACCGUGGCCGCCACCAGCGCCACCACGGCCGCCGCCUGCAGCCGGUGCUCCCACAUUACCUCCCCGAGCUUAUUCCCCUUGGUCGCCAUCGCCAGGUCGAUCUGCCCAGCGCCCCGCGAGAGAGAGAUCUAGAGCGCUCUCUCUACCUUGCUAUAGCUACUAGCUACUACUACGGUGGCUAGGGCUUUUGGCCUUGCGAGAUGUGGUGGUGGCUACUGGUGAGUGGGGAAAGGGAUGGAGGGGGAGAGAGAGCUUGGGGUUAUCCCGGACUGAUAAGGAGAUUCGGCCUGCCGCCGCCUCCAGCCAAGGUUGUGUGCUCUUUUGGGCAUGUUUUUGCUUGCAGCGCCGGGGGAAUGGUGCGGACUGUGGAUGACUCCGCCUGCCUUUCUGUCCGGAGUUUACCAAAAUGCCCUCACUCUGGAGUCAGCUUUGUUUAUGCUGCCCCUGGUUGCCAAGUAAUUUGAUCCACGUGUAUUAUUUGUGCGCUAAAUUGAAGUGCAAAAUAAGAUGACGUGAACCAUGUUACCGCUAAAAUGUUUAUUAAAUGACUUUGUAACCGUUAUAUCUAUUGCCGAAAAAAUAAAGAUAUCGUUAUGAAAUCUUUAACGAUGUGACCAUUACCUUUGUUGUUUUCUCUAACUAGAAACCUAUAUCACUACUUUAAAAACUUCUUUUUGGACGGUGAUGGGCCAUCGCUGCUUAUGGGGCAAUAAUCCAUGCAAAACUUAUAGUCUAUUAUCGAUAUAGUUGACUGCUCAGCACUUUUCAUCUCAUCACGUGAAUAGUUUGGUAAUUAAAUAGUUUUAGGUUUUUAGAUGUGUUAUAAUUUUUUAAAAUAUUCUGUCAUAAUGCACGGAUGCAUAUUUAUCAUUUUUGUUUGUUCGGCUGCUAGAUUUGUGACUGCACUAUACUCGACAUCAACAGUGCCAUGCACGCACACAACGACGGCAUAGCCAUAGCCGCCGUUGUCCGCCUACUAAACAAUCCCUUUCUUUCUUGUUAAGAUCUUAAGUGUUAACUAUAAUAUUUAACAUUAAAUCAACACUCGUAUACUAGUGGAGUCAUAUCGCUUAGCAUCAUUUAUUUUUAACAAAUAUCGCUUAGCAUCAUAAAACUUCAGUCAUGUACUAAGGGUUUAUAAACUAAAAAGAAAAGGUUCUUGAAACACAAAGGGUUUAUAAUCAAGAACACCACUCGAUCGCCGGAAUAGUCACAGCUGGUCCAUAUCCAACCCGUGCCAACCACCGGUGGUGCGGGCAGUGUGCCGGCAACCAAAAAGGGUUCCAACUUUGGGGAGGGCAUUUCGGGGAAAGCGAUUGGUGUGUAUCAGCGGCUUGGAUUUGUCGGGGCCCAUUUGGCGAGACACGCGGCCGCAGGCAGAGGGCACAACGUCGGGAACGUGCGGGAGCGCGCGUGACGGGCGCAGGCGGCUGCGUCGCUCACGUGCAGGGCACCCGCCGGCCGCACCACUCCCCCUCCGGCCCUCCCGAUCUCGACUGGGCCGGCCGUUGCAUAUCGUCCCCGCAGCUCGAACGGCCUCUUGCUUGCCUGCCUUGCUUUGAUUUGGCACGAGAUGAGAGUAACGUUACGUGGUGGGUUCUACUGUUCGGAUGAGAUCUCGUUUGUUUUCUUUUGUUUGAAAGAGGGGGAGGAGGAACAGGUGCGGCACUGGCGGAGGGAGUCUGGUCCAUGUCUCGACGCCGACGGGAUAUGGGAUCAUGGGAGACGAAUGCACACAACGGCACCGGGCGGCGGACGAUGCCGAAUUGCCGAGACACUUGUUUACUGUUUUUGCGUGUUUUGUUAUGGAAGGUUUUGAUGUCCUGGCCAUGCUCUGACAUGACAGUAGCAAACGUGGGCAAGAUUUUUGGGUUAAUGAACCCGAGCUACAAGAAGGAAGCCCCUGUUAGAGCAAGCUUAAUAGUAUAGCUAAGUAGUAGCUACAAUUCAUCUAUAACCAAUCUAAUAGCUCAUCCAUACAAUAGUUACAUACUACACUAUUAAUACCUGGUCCCACCUGUCAAACACACAUUGCGUCUUAGAGUCCGUGCUACAGCUAGCUACAAAUCUGUAGCUCGCUGCUCUUCUCUCUCCUUAUUUAUCUCCUUAAAAUACAAAUCUGUAGCUUGCUGCUCUUCUUUCUCUUUAUUUAUCUCCUUAAAAUAUGUUUGCAGCUGGCUUAUAGCCUGCUAUUGGACAUGCUCUUAGGGCACCCACAAUGGUUAUCUAUAAGCUAUCUAUAAGAGAUCAAUGUCAGCAUAUUUUCCUACUUGGAAGAUAUUAAAUGAAGAGAGAGAGCAAAGCUAUCUACUAGAUUAGAGAUAGUCUAUAGAGAAAAACGAGGCAAUGCAUGAGAGAGCUAUAGAUACCUAUGUAGACAUACUAUUGAGGUGAUUUACUAUUAAUCUAGUCUAUUGCUGAGAUGUACAUGUUUUAUAGAGAGCACCCUACUUUACCAUAGCGGGUGCUCUUAGGCCCUGUUUAGUUCCAAAGUUUUUUUUUCCAAACUUUCAACCUUCCAUCACAUCAACCUUUCAUACACACACAACUUUUCUAUCACAUUGUACCAAUUUCAACCAAACUUCCAAACUUCAGCGUGAACUAAACACAGCCUUAGUAACAAUAGUAUACUUUUUAACGUUUCAAUGUAUACGAAAAAUUUGGCAGCCCGCUAAAUAAAACCGUAAACAUGAAGAAAACAACCUCGCUUGACAUGGAGGGAAGAACAGAACAGAGAACAUCUUCAAGGGCAUCAUGCACGCAAUAAGUUGGUAAAAAAGAGAAUAAUAGAAGAGCUUUUCCUCGGAAUAAUAAUAAAAAAAAGCUGAUCCGGAGUUCCGGACACACCGAUAAGCUGCAUUAUGGGGAAAAGACAUGUAAACCGGAAAAACCGCAAUAUAUGCUACUUUCCAAUUCUUCAGUUUGAACAAGCACAGACGGAAUGGGAGCACACACUGAUAAACAUCUGAUAGACGGAAAUAUAUCUGCCAAAACUAAUACACUUGUUUUCCGCAGUGGGUGGGAUUACCCACCAUGUAAUGUAAAUCACCACAUAAGGCUAUAUAAAUCCUUUUGCAAAAGAAAAGGUUUCUGAGUUCUAAAAUUAAUCUUCUACAAAAUCCCUGGCCUCUUCUUCAUCUGAAUCAUCUUGCUGUCUAGCUUGUUCAGCAUAUUCGUCAAGGGAUGCAGCAGGGAAAAUGUCCCCUUCACGACUUCUGUCAGCAAUCUUUGGAACCGACGGUCCGCUCUCCCCGCCACCUUUGUUCAUCUGCAACAAAAUGUUGAUGUUAAUAAAUAUGCAUGGAAUUACUAGUUCACGUGAAUAACUAAAUGGACCAGCAAUUCUAAAAAAAUGAUUUCCAUUUGGUUACCAAAAUGAAAAUUAGAAUAAUAAGCUAAGGCUUCAGUUCCAAUAAGGUACCAUGAUAAUUUGGAAUCUUAAUGCACUUUCAUCUCGACAAUUUCAAGUCAAAAGUUUGGCAACCAGUUUGUUUAAGAAUUGAUGUUCCAAAGCUGAAUAAUAAUAAUAGUACAUCUCAUGUACUAUGGAUCUUGAUAUUGCAACCAUUCUAAGCAAGCAUGCUAUGUUUUUCUUUUUCCAUACCUGAAAAGCUAAAUUAACAGAUCAUAUUUACAUUCUACAGGGAGCGGGGUAUAAAACAAUCUUAACUGAUACUACUAAUUAGUAAUUACAGGUCAAAAUGUUUCAAGACAGGUGAAACUUUAGAACAUGGACCAGCCAUUUAUAUUCACAUGCUCAGAUUUAAUGUAUAGCAAUAUAAUAGAACUCCAGAUAAAGACCUGUAAAGAAUCCUUACAGUUAAACGAACCACUGAUGCCAGAGCAAACAAUUGUGUACAAGAAUUUAAAACAAUCAAAGUUCUAUUCACAUUUAAUGCUACAUAUUGGAACAACAAAAACCAUGAAUAGCACAAGAAGAGAAGGUGCAUAAUAUUAAUUCAUUCAACUUGGACAUCGAAACAAAGGCAGUGGCACCUUAAUACUAGAAUACACAUAAUUUAGAGAUCUCCAUAAUUUAAGUUGUCCAAAAUAACGAUGCAUCCAAAGAAACACAUAAAAGGGAAAAAUUCAAGGGUAUAUGCGAAAUACUGUGGUGAACUGGGGAUUAUUUUCAAAUGAUAAAUCAAACAAUACAAUUAUGACAAAAUCUUUGUUCUAAUUUCUUGCAGUGCUGCCUUCAGAUAUCAUGGGAAACAUAUAUUGUGAUUAGGCAUCCCUUGAAGACAAACAUUCGCUAUACCUAAUCAGAUAAAGAUAUAUCAUUAAAAACAUGCCAUAGUAAGUACUCACAAGGCGAAGAAGUGUGCGCCUCUCCCUCUCCCUAGCACCUCUUAUGGCCUACAAAAUAAUUUAAUAGUCAGCACAAAAGAAAACGUUCACAACAAUCUCCAUUCAAAUAUAGCACAACCAAACCUCCUCUAGUUCCUUGCGCUCACUCUCCUGUUCACUAAGAUCCCUAGAAAAUGGUAGAAAAUUGUUAGCCACCUAAGUUUCAAAGUUAGGAUAUCAUUUGGUUAUGCUAAUACUAGUACCACAACAUAGUAAACAAGCAGGGAUCACCUUCCGACAAGCGCUUUAACACAAGUGCAGCACUUCGCGCAAAUCCCAAGGUCCUUGGAGCAAGCUGCAUUGAGCAUAUGCAACAGAGAAAUCAGUAACAACAUCAACACCAUCAUAGCAAAAGACGACAUGGUGGAGUAGCCGAAAUUCACCCGUGCAGACGUUGUGAUACGCCUGUCGGACGUUCCGUUUCCCACACUUCUGACUGCAAAAACCAAACGAGAACUAUCAGCAUCCAUCACUGCCCACUCCUCCAUAGUUCCAUCAAUCGAGUGAGUGCGAUAAUUACGAAAAAGGGCAAGAGAAGGUACCAUUUUGCCGGCUCAACGAUAGGCUUGUACUUCCCGUAUCUGCCAAGAAGAGACAAACAGAUCGGACCGAGAGGCCAAGAAGCUAAAAUUACGAGCUAAGAUUAACGACGACUACAGAAGGGGACUCCCGACCUUCUCUUCCAGUCGAUUUGGUCCUUGCAGCGCUGGCAGACGCCGGUGAUCUCCGACAAAGGACGGAACCUGCCGCCGGGCUCCUGCAGCGGCGAGGAUUCCAGCCGUGAGACUCAGGCCUUGAAAAAAAGAGGAUAAAGAAGGAGAGGGAGGCGGCUCGAGGACUCACGGUCUCGUUGAUCUUCUGCCCGAGGUUGGGCUUCCACGCGUAGCGGUUCUGAUGCUUCGGGGGACCCUGCCGCUUCGACAUCGCUCUCCUCCCCCCGCGAGACUCGCGCGCCGCCGGGAAGGUUUCCGUCGUCCUCCUCGAGCUGAGCCCCCCUCCGCCGCGGCGCCGCCUACCCUUAAAACCUUCUCGCUGCGUCGGCUACGCAAUCGCGACAGCAGCAGCCGUUCGAUCGAGAAAUCAACGGCCUACGUGCGGGGAAAGCGGUCGUGGACGUUUGAUGGGCCGCGGCCCAAGCAGUAGGCCCAGCGAUUCCCCCUUCCGUGUCCUUCCCGAAGCCGGAAGUUGAGAAAUUGGAGCUGAUCAACCGGAGAGCGCAAAGCCACCGGCCGCGCCGCCGCGAAAGCCCGAGGCGGAGGAGACGGCGGCGGAGCGAAGAGUAGGCGGCGGGGAGCUAGGCGGGAAUGGCGACGGGGAGGAGGUUCCUGCAGUUCCAGUCGCUCCUCGCGCAGCAAGCCCUACGCCUCCGCGCCGCCCCGAGACCUAAACCCCAACCAAACCCCCCCCACCGAUUCCUCCACGCCCCAUCCAGUCCCGCGGCCGCCUCGCCCUCCCGCCUCCCCCUAUGGCGCAGCACUGGCUCGCUCCUGCCGGUGAGCGCGGCGGCGGCCGCGGCGGCGGCGGCAGCCGCCCGGGCCGCCGCGGCGCGGUGGCUGAUGGCCGCGCGCGAGGCGGGCUCGCUCGAGCUCUUCUCGCUGCAGCGGCGCAGGUCCUCGGGGUGGUUCCCCUCCUCGUCCAUGUUCCUUAGCGGCGUGUCCUGGUGAGGUUUCGGUUCGUAUGGUUUGAAAUGGGGGAUUUUCGUGGUGGUUUAGUGAUUUUUUUUUGGGUUGGUUUUGAUGUUCAAUGAAGGACGAAGUGGUUGCCGUCCGCCGAUGGGGCAGUGUUGAUGCUCGUGGGCGCCAAUGUGGGCGUGUUCAUGCUAUGGCACCUGGCUGAUCCUAGCUUCAUGAGGAGGCAUUUUAUGGUUAGUGAUCAGUCGAAGAGCUUCUGCUUUUGUUUCAGAAGUGGUUGAUUAAGUGUGGCUUGAUUAUUGUUUGAUGAGCAGAUUUCUCUUGAUAACUUCAAAAGCGGGAGGUUACACACGUUGCUCACGAAUGCCUUCAGCCACGCAGAGAGUGGUCACCUCAUCAGCAAUAUGAUCGGUCUCUACUUCUUCGGAUCAAGUGUAAGAUGUUCAGCUGCUCACCAUUCUCUCUUGUUAUUACAAUGCAGAAGUCUGUACUCCCUCCAUUAUCAAAUAGAUAACAUUUUAAUAUCAAAAUAUUAAGAUUUAAUGUGUGCAAAUGACAUCAGCAGAUUUUCAUGAUUUUCAUGUAGUUAUCUUCGAUAAUCUUUAUAAAUAUAUGAUUAAAAAAAACAAUGAUCAAACAAGUGCAUUGGUGACUAUGUUGAUGUCCUAAACGACAAGUAAAAAGGAUUAGUUUGUCCUUCUAUGCACCUAUGUGCAACUUUAUGCAUUCUCAAAUCCUAAAUAGAAACAAAGGAAUGGAUAUGGUGACUUGUCAAUAUAGUGGAAAUCAUUACUAUUACUAGUUUGCUUUCUGAAACACCUGAAUUAUAGCUGUUUUGAAUUAUCAAAUCAGUCAAAGAAUCAUAAGUUGAGUGUAGACUAAAAACAUUAUCUAACACUUGAUCCAAGACAUGAUCUUGUUGCUAUAAUAUAUGCUCAUCUGAAUUCCAGCAUCUUUUGUUGAAUAUUUCAAGCAAGUCUGAAUUACCAUCAACUUGUUGGCAUGAUUCAUGCUGGGUGAACUUGACCGUGUAAAAUUAAGAAAGAGUAAUAUAUUUGGUAGUGGAGUAUUGAAUUUGAUCUAGCAAUUUUUCUUUAUUUUGACAUUAUUGAAUUUGACCAAUCAAAUUUUGAUUAUAUUUUUUCUCUAGUAAAAAAAAUUAAAAUUGGCUUGAUGUUUGUAAAACAAUUCUUUGUUUCAUUAGUUUCUUGCAAAGGUCACAUGUAAUGAAGAGUUAUAAUACUUCAUUGCCAAGCCCCCCUCCAUCAGUCCAGAGACACACAGAGAGGUUAUUGACAUUUCCUGUGCUAGUUAUUCAACCGAGCCAAUCAGAGUUGUACGUAUUGAUGACUGAUGAAGGCACCAUGCAGGAGAAGAUGUGAGGCUGUUUUUCAGGUCUGAUGAAAUAGCCAGCUAGGUAGAGAGAUCCUGCAAUGAUUUGCCAUGGGAAUUCAAUGUCUACCAUGGUUUGAAUGUACUAGAUACGGUUUAUCCAUUUUAUAAAAACAAAAUCAAUAGCAUAUAACUAUUCCCUUCUAAUUUUAGUAUUUCUAUUUAUCAUGUUUAGUGUAGUUAAGAUUCGUUCUCCAAAUGAAGGGACUAGUAUAUAUAUUGUACUCUGAUUUUCUAUUGGCCAUUUAUUACUUAUAUUGCAUGUGCUGAAUUGCUUUUUUUUUCCUUUGUGAAUCAGAUUUCCAACAUGUUUGGUCCUGCUUUUCUACUGAAGUUGUACGUAGCAGGAGCACUUGCUGGAUCUGCAUUCUUCUUGCUAGAGAAAGCCUUCCUAGCUCCACGAAGACAGGUAAGCCUGGAUAUGAUGUGAAUUCUUAUGCAUCAGGGAACCAGGAUUUCUAAUCCUGGACCAGGAUGUCCUAUGUCAUCCAAUUCUGAAACAAAAUCCUAUGUCAACGUGAUUUCUAGUUAAGAAAAGCUAACCUGUGAAAAUGCUAGUACCUGGUAGUUCGCUGCUAGCUACUAGAUGCCAACCAGCCUCUUGGUAUUGGCACUCGUGUGGGACAUAUCCUGCAUGAAAAGGGUUCAAUAUUUAUGAUUUUGCAAUAAUCUCCCUAAUCUAAUAUGUAAUAUUUAUUUUGCAGUUUUAUGGCGGAUGGGACAAUUCAAGAACUCCUGCGCUUGUAUGUGAUUUAUUGAUUUCUUGUUCUUGCAGUUCACUUUAUUUCGCGCUGGUAUUCAGAAAACAAGCAUUAUUAUGACAUAAUCACAUCAGUAGUCUGAUGGCAGCGAUUUUUUCCCACCUACCUAUUAUGUGUUCAUCUUAUACACCCAAAUAAUUAAUUAAAAAGCAGUACUGCAAAUUUGAAUCGCUAUGAUAGUUUAAUUUAAUGUAUAUAUAGCCAACAAAGGGAUAUCCUAUUUGCUACUGUACUCAGAGAUGUCAGUGGAGCCUCGUUCCCUGUUCCCCCACAGGGAAUUCUUCCACAGGGGACGGGGAUGGUUGCAACUGAUUCUCCACGGGAAAUUAAAUGUGGAAAAACUUAUGCCCCCUUGGGUCUAGCAUGGGCGGGGAUGAUCUUCUGUUGCCCAUCCCUGUCCUUCGUGAGGAUACCCGAUUAAAAAUCGGGAUAGGGAUCCAAGUCCAUUGCAAAUUAUGUAGGCCUAAAGGUCCAAUCGAGCCAUAAUUAGUGGAUGAAGAUCUUGUGUUGUUGUCACGUGGAUUAGUGGAUAUAUGCUAGUAUAUUUAUAUAAAGUGUGGAUAUUAUUUGUUAAUUACAUUUCGAUUUGAGAUGUAUAUGUUGUUUUAAACGGGCCCUCCAUGAGGAUUAAUUCCCCGCGUGGGGUGGGAUGGGAAAAUUGUUCCUGAUUGCAGUUUACGAGGGUGGGGAAAUUUGUGGCCCGCAGGGAUAGGGAUGGGUUGUAUUCCCCAGCGGGGAUUACCCGUUGCCAUCUCUACCUGUACUAGUACUAAGUUAUUACUUGUUACACCCAAAACAUAACCUAUUAUAUUCAUGUGAAUCAGGGUGCAAGUGCUGCUGCUAAUGCAAUUAUCCUUCUUGACAUCUUUUUGUAUCCAAAGAAACUAGUCUAUCUUUACUUCUUCAUUCCUAUUCCAGCUGCAAUUAUGGUGAGAAGCUUUUUUUCUUCAAAACUUUCUGUUAAGCAUGGUUGCUAUGAUGUAAAACAAAAACUCUUUGACUUUUCAGGGGGCUAUUUUGAUCGGUGCUGAUUUGCUGAGGGUGAAGGUAUGCAGUAACUUAAAAUGUGACUUCUUUUCAUGUGGAUUUGCUAAUGUAAUAAGUGCUCCUUUUGGUUUUUUGGUGCUACCCUGUUGCUUUUCCAUGAGUUUUGACUGUGGUAGUGUGCUGGUUCAGCAGAUGCAUUACAGUAUAGCUGUUGGACACUGCUACUUUCAUUUUUAUUUCAAUUUUGGGAUUUUUGUGAAUCGCUUACUCUGUGAAGUUCCUGCCUGCAGUAGCUCUGGUCUUAAAUUAACCUGAUAUUUUUUAAAAAGUUGAUAUUCACAUUUAGGGUGGCUAGGAAUAUUUUACUGAUUUUUCCAUGUGAUGUUUCUGUUUCUAGAAUGUACUAGCCUUUCCUGGCUAGUUGAAAUUCUAUGUUUUAUAUCUUUCUUCUUGAUGAUUACAUUUAUCUAAUUUAUGCUUUUUAUAUAUAUACUUCCUUUUCCCCAAAAAAAGUUGUACAGAGGCUGAUAUCUGUUUAUUUUUUAGAGGCAAGGUCAGGUAUCAGGUACUUCUCAUUUAGGUGGUGCCCUAAUAGCUGCUCUUGCAUGGGCUCGAAUCAGGAAGGGUUGGAUCUGAUCAUGUACUCCAUCUGGUGGGCUGAUAGUUGCAACAUGUCAUUUGACGAGUUACUCAUGGACCAUGCGACUCGUCCAAGUCUCUGAUGUAGGAAUGCUUAAAAACUUCCUGGAGAAUAUCUCGGUAGCAUCGUACUAGAUAUUGUUGACUGAUUGGCAGGAAACCAUCCUUAACAUAAUAACAUUUAUCCCUGUGGUGGAUUGCAAGGGCAUUUUCAUGGCUGGUCAUCACAAUUUGUCAAUAGCAUACUAACAUGUGUGAUGCAGAAAUGUCUCUGCUCGCGUGCAAGCGGGUGCUAUAAUUAGCUGGACAGAUGGUACUGUAGUAAUUAAGCUCAGAAGUUGCCAGGGAACGGGAGGUCGGGAUCGAAGGCUCCAAGCAGAUGGCACAGUUGGUUUAUUAUGGUCCGACUGCGUUGGAGAGGGUUUAGCUCGCCACUACUGCUCUAUCCUGCAAUGAUAAUGCGAUGCUACACGCGGUACACCUGUGCUGUGCGGCCGGCUGUGUCACGCAUCAGUAUUACCAUUUGCCAGUCGCCUCGCCUGGCAUGGAUGGAACCAUCGAUGCAUGUUCUCUUGAUGAGCCUAUAAGUCGGCCCAUCAGGCUGCAGGCCCAGCUCGAAGUCCACUGCAAACACAGAUGUACCAGCCUCUUAAGGGCCGGCGACAGGUUGAUUGUACACACAUGCGUCAGCUGCAAAGGAACAAGGUCCAAUUAAUCCUCCGUCAGGUACUCCCUCCGUCCCAAAAUAUAAUAACUUAUAGCCUCUAAAAUUUGUCCCAACAUAUAACAAUUUUUACACUAACAUUGUCUUCUCAACCAAUCACAACCCUCCACCAUUCAAAUUUUCCACAUACCUCCACUUAUCGAAUUACAACUCUCCUCUAUUCAAUUGUACCUACUUUUCUUAAUAACCAUGUUUAACUCUAAAAAUGUUUAUAUUGUGGGAUGGAGGAAGUAAUACCCGUGCAUACUGUAGCGCCAGGUUAAUUGUACAUAUGCAAUGGGUCUGCUGUAUGCUGCAGUAGUUAUACGUACACGUGCAAUCACUACAUUAUAUUGGAACCGUUUUUUUUCCUUCACAGGUAGAAUUCGUCAGGACCGUCGGUUAACACACUGAUUUUUCGCGAUAUGGACGUACGACGGCCUUCAGAAGACAUUCAAGUGAUUUUUCCUUCUUAAUAAAAAACGAAUUAACGCAGUUGCAAUAUGUUCGCCUUUUGUGUUCCACUUAAUUAAGCUUUUGUGAUUUUUUUUUUGAAAAAUAGCUCAAAAUAUGCAAUAGAUCAUGGGGAGAAUCAGUUUGACGACUAAAAUACCGCGAGGAGCAACCGCCCUUUGCAUGCAUCGAUCGCAUUCUGUUAAUUAAUGAAAUGCAUGCAUCUGCUUACAGAAUUUAGGUUGGUAGCAGCUAGUUAAGGUAGCUGAUUUUCUUUUCUCCCCAUUUCUAGUUAAGAAACUCACGGUUCGAUCUGUACCUAGCGGCUAGCGCACGUACCUACUAUAGAAUUAGUCAUGCUACAGAAGAGAUAAACGAAAGAGUGAUCAACGAAAUGAGGAUAAUGCAUGGUACAGGCUAUGCAUUUGGUAGGCCACUCCCCUAUACUGCUCUCCAAAGCAUAAUCUUACGAGAGUAUCAUUGCUCGUGUGUCCAAUUUGCUCGUCUGUCACGUACCAUGCAAGACACAUCCAUUUGCCACAGCCCACACUACACAGUUCAUCAUCAUCUCCCUUAAUAAUAAUCAACCUUAACUGCCAUACACCAUAUAUUCACACCUAAGGAUAGCCAGCGUGCAAUCUAUUGCUCUAGCUAGUUGGCUACAUUGUUGAUCAAAAUCGGUUCAUGUGUGUGCAUGCAUAUAAUUACAUAAUUACUAGAUGCGUAGGCUAGGUUACUUUUCCAGCAUGAGAACAGCUAGUCUAGCUAAUUACCGGUUUGUUGCUAAGCUAGUUAGCUAUACUCAAAGUUAACAAACGGAUGAAACUAAAGAUGAAAGGAAGAUGAGUUUGAUAGGAAAAAUGUGGGGAGGAAUCGUGGUAGCCUCAGGGGACCAUUCAUGUGAAAGGGUAUAUAUUGGUCCAUGUCUCUCCGUGGCAAAAGAUACGAAGGGUACAUCUGCUUAGCUAACUGCUUGCUGCAUGCAUGCAAACCCUAGCUACAGGGCUAUGCAGACACAGUGCACGCAGAGAGAGAGAGAGAGAGAGAGAGAGAGAGAGAGAGAGAGAGAGAGAGAGAGAGAGAGAGAGAGAGAGAGAGCGCUUUAACCGUAGGGGGCCUAGCUCAGCUCGCCUCCAAAGACCAGCCCCCCGGCCAGGCCAGGCCAGCCACAGAGCCAGCCCCACUGCUGGUCUUUUACUACUCAUCAACCCCACUCACUGGUCACUUCCCUUCGCUUGCUGCUUGCUAGCUAUAGCAGCUUGAUUUUUCUUUUUUUCUUGGGGAACUGCUAGGCUAGAUGAUUGGUGGUCACGGAGACAAAAUUUUUGCAAACUUAAGAUGCUUGUCCUUUUGUUUUAGGUAUGCCAUUCAAAGAUAAGACAUGGUUGUGUGUGUGUGUAUAUAUGCCUCUGUAUAUACAUGUGUACAUAUACAAAUCAACCAAAAGGCUGUCUUUUCUCAGCUGGGCAAUGUCUUUGCAGAUAUUCAUGUUUUAUUCAGGGGUGUAGAGCUGAACCUAGAGCAGAGCUAAUGUGCCCUUGGUAGCUACUUCUUAAUUUAUGUUUUGAAUUAUUGUAUAGUAUUUUUUAUAGCAUGUAAAUAGGAUUAUGGAGCUAAAGCCUAACUCCUAAGGCUCAAGUCCUAGUAAUUACGAAGUAGUAUCUUCAAAACCCUGGCUUUCUUUUUGAAACAAAGUCCUAAUUACUCUUAGCUUGUCUUUGACCCUGCAGGGUCUUGUCCACGGUAGACAGCAGGAGUUGUUUGGAAGGGUUUUUGUCAGGAAAUGUUUUCGGCUCUACUAGCUAGUAGUAGCCGCUGCUAAGGCAGGGGAACAGCGUCUUUUUUCCCCAAAUAAGCAGAGAAGCACAUAUACGUGCAGAUGAUCGAGUAGCUAUAGCUUGUUAGAUCAGUGCACAAAAGAAAGGUCGCUUUGGGAUUUGGGUUCAGCUUUGGCAAAGGUGCGUACGUGGAGGGAAAAAGAUCUACCUAGCCCUGAUAUAUUGCUCUCAAUCGAUCGAUCCGGCACGCAAGAUGAGAUAGUGACCCCCACGUACGCAGUGCUCGCUUUCCUCUUGGUCAAAUGGGUAGGAUGAUGGCACGCAGAAUGAACCGCUGAUACGCAGGUCUUAGCUGCUGUUUGGUCUGCUAAUUAAUAAUCUCACUUAAUUACCAAUUAGUGAUCGGUCAAAUAUUGGUGGUGACUGACAACAAGAAGAAUAACUGUCAUGUUGGGUUAAUUAAGUUUGCUUGAAUAAUAUUAAUCUAAUACAUACACAUUGUCAAUGUAUUCUAGUAUCUCAGUGGCUAGCUUUCUUGUCUCAGGAAUGAUUUUCUUAUGCCGCACGGUGAUUCUCCAUUCAUGGAUAUUGGUGGCUCAACAUGUAAGACAGAAUUUUCAAAGAAGAACUUCAGUGCGAGUUGAUAGUACGUCUUAAUUAUGAUUUUCACCAAGGUUGCUUGGCAAAUAUGGGACCGAUUAUCUUAAAGCAUGAGAGGGUGUCUUCACCAUAAUUUACUGGUCGUACCAAUCAAUCCUCCAAAGUUGUCGAGAAUGUUGAUCUGCUCCGGUGUUAAUUUGGAGUACAGUGGGAGUUGUUCAUUGCCUCCAUUUUUGGCUACAUAUAUAUGGUCAGUAUGGAGAUCUUUGAUGUGUGCCUCGAGAUCUUAUAGCUGUUGUUCACUUGUUCGGUUUGUUCUCUUCUCCUUUAAUUUAUUUGUGGUCUGUUGGUUGCCAUUGCUUCUUAACGUACACCAUACUGUUAAAUUUUGUGGUUAGCUAGGUCUUUGUGUAUUACCCACUCAAUUUAAUGAAUGGUGUGUAGAAGCUUUUCUUAGAAAACUUUACAUUAUUACACAGUAGUAAUCCAACAAUGAGGAACAUUAUAUUUCUAAAACUUAGGACUUGUUAAGAGAUGCAUGUGUAGUUUUUUUCAUAGGCUUAAACUAUAUAGAAUAUUUCCUGUAGAACCUUUUUGAAUUAUCGGAUUUUUUUAGAUUGAAAAUUACCAUGGAAUCCCUUUCCUUCCUCCAUAUUUUGGAUGACUUCAAACAUAUGCUGAGACCUCAUAUUUUCAUUUCCUUUGAGAUGUUUCAGAGCAUUCUGAUCUUUCUGAUCUCUGUGUGUGUGUGUGUGUGUCUAAGAUAAAUUGUGCAGACUUUUUCUUUAAGAAUUUCUGCAAAUUUCAGUGCCUAAACGAUUCUUCAUGUUUAAUUCUUGUAUGAUUAAACUAGCCAUGCAUGACAUGCAUCCAAAUUCUUGUAUAUAUAAUACAUUACAUUCCAAAUGGGCCCUAUAUAGACUGGAGCAGCCUAUAUAUGUCUAAAACAACUACUCCAGAUCGUUGUGGAAUAUCCAUAGUACUAGUUAAUUACUCCCUCCGUUUCAAAAUGUUUGACACCGUUAACUUUUUAGCACAUGUUUGACUGUUCGUCUUAUCAAAAAAAAUUGUGAAAUAUGCAAAACUAUAUGUAAACAUGAAAGUAUAUUUAACAAUAAAUCAAAUGAUAUGAAAAAAAAAAUAAUUACUUAAAUUUUUUGAAUAAGACGAAUGGUAAACACGGAGGGAGUAGGAUAUUACCACUGCUUCUGCUGCUGCGGAUAAUUCUUAGUUAAGAAUGUUAGGUGGUUGUGUAGUAAUUGUCAUGCAUAUACAGUACCCGUGAUUAGAUUAACAGAUAAUUUCUUGCGUGUAACUGUGCAUGCCUUUCUGCUGAUGAUCUUCCUUUUACACGAUUGGUACUUUUAGCUAGCUAGGUAAGCUAGCUAUCUAGGCAUGUUACCAUUUACAAAAGUGAUAUGCAUAUUAUGUUGAUGCAUGCAUGUUGUCUAUACUAGCCUCUAGCUUAAUUAGGUUUGUGCUAAGCUAGCAGCUAGCUGGCUGUGCGUUAGUUGGUGGGUCUGCGCCAACAAAGUGUGUCCACCGUGUCUUAUUUUGUUGUUUUCUUUGGGCAUCCCGUUGCUGGUGGGGGUGACGCAGGAUGAUGUUUACGGGUCAGAGAUCUACCAGAGAGAGAGAGAUAGAGGACAGAUCAGUACAGGGUCGAGUUGAAUGUGCUAGCGAGCUGGUCGGUAAUACUGCUCUCUUUACAUCGCUACUUUACCAUUAUGUUUUGUGAGCUGUGACCAUCUAACUAGCUAGCUAGUCCCAACAGGUAGGAGUGUAUGGUGUGAACAGUGUUUGAGCUGCUCAGUUUGUCUUUCUUUCGCCAACAAUCGUCUAGAAUUAAAUGCAUUCUGCAUGCACGAACAAAAUAUAUAAUGAGUGUAGUCAUCUGAGGACAGGUCUUGACUUCUGAAAUACUUUGUACUAGCUGGCUCUGAAAACCGGAUUGUCCGAAAAACAAGUACGUAUAACUCUUCUCUACUAUUAUAAAAAUUUAAAAUGUUUUUACCAGUAUUUUGGUACGUCAUCUGUGUAUGAGUUGGUUUUUAAGUUUCCUUUUAAAAAUACAUAUCCGUAUUUGAGUCAGUUUUUAAAUUCGUUCGCUUUUGGAAAUACAGAAUUCGUCGUAUAAGAAAUCUCAUUAAAAAAACUCACAUGCUAACUUGAGACGAUCCUAACUGUAGCUCAUGAUUUUCUAAAAAAUAUAUAUAUCCAAGCGAAUCCGCACAGUAAAUUUUACCUUAACUAAACUGUAUAACAAUAAUAAGAUGAAAAAACCUUCCCCUGUUGCAACGCACGGGCAUCUUUUCUACUAUAUAUAAAUAUUUAUAUUUGUAGAACUGGUGUGGAUCUGAGGUCAUUUUGACUUUCCAGAAGUGCACAUAUCUAUUCAUAUGAAAUGAAGAAUGUAUAUAUUUCCCAUAUACUCCUUCCGUCCCAAAAUAAGCGCAAUCAUGAGUUUCCGUGCCCAACUUUAAUCGUCCGUCUUAUUUAAAAUUUUUUUGAAAAAAAAACUAAAAACAUAAGUCACGUAUAAAGUAUUGUUCAUGUUUUAUAAUAUAAUAUCAAUAAAAAUACUAAUCGUAAAUUUCAAAUAAGACGGACGAUCAAAAUUGUACGCGAAAAUUUAUGGUUGCGCUUAUUUUGAGACGGAGGGAGUAUAUACUUCAUGAGUAUUCAAAUACUUGUCAUUGUAUUCAUUUUCAAACUUUGACCAUUCAUCUUUUGUUAAGAAAAUUUUUAAAUGCUUAGAAGUAUUCCAUAUGAACAAAGUGUGUUGCAUCCUAAAUAUAUUCAUGAAACUUUUGUACAUCAUAAUCUAACUAUUAAAUUAAAUUUAUUGAUGAUCGAAGACUCAAAGUGACAAUUAUUUGAAACCAGAUAUAGUAUAUAGAGUAAUGAAAGAAUGGUAUAUAUAUAUAUACAAUCAUAUUGUUUUCUUUUUUUUCUAUGGGAUCGAUCAAGCCGCAUAAAACUUCAAAAGCAUUUUCAGCUCUACCAUUAAUUAAGUUUAAUUAUUUUUUUCUUGAAGGAAGUUCCAUCUUCCAUGUGAUAAGCACAAUCUUUGCUUAAACAUGUCCGUAUUUUAAGAAAUAAACAUGACCAAUAUUUCCUUAUUUGAAUUUAUAUCAACUCAAGUCAGUCAUAUGAUUUCCUGUACCUAGUUUAAUUUAUUAUUUCGGUAAAAUCUGCCUUUAAUCAUGUUAUAUACUAAAUGAAAAGUGUAAAGCAUAUGCAUUUUUUUCAUAACAAAUUGGCAAAUUAAUUAGUGAGGAGCAGAUCAAUUUGACUGAGAAAGUUAAUUUGGGAACUUAAUUGACAUAUAUAUUAAUUUGACAAUAAUACGUAUGAGAAAACAUAGUAAUUGAUGAUUUCUUAAGCUAUAUAGGAUUAGCCGGCUUAUCAAUCAAGUGAAAACAUAUAUGCCCCAAUACAUAUACUAGGAGUAUAAUUUAUUGAUCCUCCUUUUUCACAUGUCAAUCUGAUCAUCAAUUUGAUCAGUUGGUACGGUUAUACGUAUCUUUGACCUAAUUAAUAAAUGGAUCGAAAAUCAUUUUGCUGCAUUUUUACAAUUUCACAAUUAAUUGCAACGUUGUGCUGAUCCUUUCCUAGCCUCAAUAUACUUUUUCCUGGGUACUUCAGCAUCCUCUUCGAAUUUACUUUGCUACUAGCUUCUAAAUUAAGUUCUUAAUUUAUUUGUGACUAGGCAAUAUAAUGCUACACUUGCACGUACGUACAACAAUAAGAUGAUGCUUAGCUAGAUUAUGUUUAUCUUCCUAUCAUGCUUCAGUGAGCUGCUUGCCGUUUUCAUAAUUGUAGGCAUGUACUAUCAAUGUGUUUCAUGGAAGAAUGCCUACUAUUUUACAUAACUCUAUAUAUUCAUGUGGACCAUGUCCCUAAGCGGCCUAAACUCUAAACUGAACUAGCUAGGGUAAGAGUUGUAAAGAGGUUCCUUCUCUAGUUAAACUUAGCUAGGUAGGAGUUGUAAAGAUGUUUGGGUGUUAAUAAACAUUAACCUGCAGAUAGAACCUUAUCUUGUUACUUUGGCACGGUAUAUAUCUAGCUAUAUAUAUGUGACCUCAUGUGUCGUUCAAAAUAACAAGAUGUGUACACGUAAGAUUAAUUGUACUGGUAGAGAUCUCAAAUUAAUACAAUGACGACGCAUGUAUGUAUUAUUCAUACAUAUCCAUUAACCCAUAUAUAGAUAUUUCAUUGCAUUAUGUAUAUUAUGACUGCAAUUAAUAGCCUUGUGGAAUCACAUGGAUUGACUAUUACCCAAGCUCAUAUAUGCAUGAGGUGAAAAAUUGUUUACUUUGUGUGAGUUGUAGCCCUUUAUAAGUUUUAAUUCCUCGAAAAACAUUCAAGCAUAGGGUUAAACAUCAAAGCACACUAUACUAUUUCCAUGUUUCUGAAAUAAUUUAAAAAUACCAUUUUAAUUUAUUGGGACAGUUAAGAAAAAUAAUCAUGUGUAUAUAUAUGCUUCCUUCACAUAAGAAACCAGCAUUUUUUUUCCAACAUUAAGAAAUAUCCACUGUAAGUUUCUUUGUUUCACAUUUAGAAUAUAAAUAAUGUAUACUUCAGGGUUCAGUCUACAUAUACCUGGAAGGAAAUUAGUAUUUUGCAGGGAGUGUAUUUAUAUUUCGCAGAAUGAACUGGAAAAAGGGACAUACUUCCUCAGUAUGCAGUGUGUCAACCAGAUAUUCAUUGCCCAAUGUUUUGUGUACAGCCAGGAAGCUUGGGAUGCAGCAACGGCGUCAGAAAACUGAAUACACACACAAAGAAGUUUCCCUUUUGAAAAAAUAAAGAAAAUUAAGGCUAGGCAGAACUGAAAGGUUCAAAAUUCAGAACUUAUUAAUUAUUACACAAGCCAAUACAUCAAUUACUUCUUUGCAUAUAAAAAGAAGUAACAAAUCCGUAUUGCACACAGGCAUAUGCAGCAAAGCCCUGCAUAUUUCUUGCCCUAGUUUCAGAGCAAAAGAAAUUAGCAGCCAGCUAGCUGGCAGUAUCUUCCUUCUUAAAUCUUAACCCACAAGCUUAAUUGUUCCCUUGAAAGAAAUUAAUACAUAGAUCAAAGCAAUGCACACACUUGCACUAGCUAGCUUAGAUUUGUUCUUUUGGUAGAGCUCAUCGAUCCUUACCUUGUCGACGAUCGAAGAGUGUUGUUCCAGUGUGUGUACUGUGUAGAUCGAGCUUGCUUAGCUUCCUGUCUGAUCAUGGAAAGCUCUCGCCGAGCUCAGGGACAAGCCCUGCGAGCCAAGGUUGUCUACUGUGAACUGCUCGGCCUCGGAGGAGUAGAACACCAGCUGAUGAUGCGGCCCUGGAGCCAAGGAAAGCAGUGAAGGGAACGGCGAGGUGUGGUGAGCCGCGGCGGCGGCCACCUGCGGCGAGCCGGCGCCGCUGUCUUGCACGCUGCCAUUAUUCCAUGACUCACCGGCGUAGUGGAACGGCAUGGCGGCGCCGGCGGCGCUGUUGACCAUCCCCAGCGGGUUGUUCAGCCCCAUGAACCGGUGGUAGCCACCGGCGGGGAACCUCCCCACUAUGUGCGCCGCUCCGCCGCCGCCCCCGCCGUCGACGUCGUCUCCCCCUCCUCCUCCUCCGCCGCCGGCCGCCGCCGCCUCCUUCUCCGCGGCCAGCGCGGCCGCCGCCGCCGCGACGUGGUACUUAUCGUCGUCGGCGUGGUGGUGGUGGCCGUGGUGGUGCAUCAGCGGCAUGGCCGACGGCAGGUGGUGGUGGUGUCCCAUGCAGAGGUGGUCCUGCGGCGGGAACUGCAGCGGCGGCAGCUUGUCGAUCUCGUGGCGCGCCGCGUUGAGCAGCCAGUCCACCACCUUGCUGGGCUGGUUGAGCCCCAGCCGGUCCUGCAGGUCGUACAGCUGGAUCGCCGUCGGCACCGACAGCCGCACCCGCCGGUCGCGCAGCCCCUUCACCGUCUUCACCUUGCUGUGCCGGUCCUUGCCGCCGAACACCCGCGACACGCGCACGAUCCGCGACUCCGUCUGCGCCGACCAUUGCCGCGACGUCGCCACCGCCGCCGUGUGCUUCCUCGCUAGCUCCGCCGCCUCCUCCUCCGCCGCAGCUGCCGCAGCCGCGGCGGCGGCCGCUUGGUUGCUUCCUAGUAUCAUCCUUAUCAACGCCUCCUCGAGCUCAUCCUCCCAUCGUCAGUCCUCGAUCCACCUAGCUAGCUAGCUACCCAAUCAUUACACACACAACAACACCUAAUUAAUUAGGAGUAACAUCGCAUGCAGACUGAUUAGCAUAAAAUUUCGCGCCAUAAUCAACCAGCACUACUAGUAAUUAACCCGGGGUAAAUAAAUCUCUCCUGUGCACGGAAGGGUCUACCACCCGAUCUCGACGGAUUAUCUCUCUCUCUCUCUCUCUCUCUCUCUCUGCUUGUGUCACUGUUCCAUUGGGGAAUGGGGAAAGCGAGCCAGCUUUAUUCGCUGCGUAUUUGCGAGCAACAGCUAGCUAUAUCUCUACUCCUAUCAAUCGAUCUACCUAGGUAGUAGCUAGUAGCGAGAUCGAGAUCGAAAGACCGGCUCUUCCCUGCUGCGCUUGCAGCUCUAGCUGGGUGAGCUGCAUGCGAGCCAUCAGCAGUGGCACUAUGUGUGGGAAUGAUAUGAUUCCAUGAUUGAAUCGAGCAGCCAUGCAUGAUUCGUCUCGCCGGUGGGAAGAAGAGCUAUGAAUUGGAUCGUACAAAGGAUCACUAUUUGCCCAUGGGAAUGAGGAACAGGAGAAGGCUGGGUCGGGGGGUUUGUAUUGAGUGCUAGCCUUUAUGCCGAGACGAAUAGCUUUUGCUAGCUAGCUAAUCCUGCAGGGCCUGCAGCAUGCACCCAGUCUUUAACUGUAGCAGUCAUUAGCUUUUAAAUUGUGCUCUUUGAAACCAAUCGAUCGAGGGAGGAAAUUUGUGUGGCGAGCGAAAAAGGUGAAAUUUUUUGGAGGCUUGACAGAGGAUUAAUUUACUCAGUUGGGGAUUCCUAGAACUGAACACUAUAUUCAGGAAAAAAAAAGGAAAAAAAUGAAGAGCAGUGGGCAAAAUGGAUAAUUAAAUUGACAGAUCGAUCAACCAGGUCGUUCCGGAAGCAAAAGGAUCAGAGAGAGGCGAUCCGGUGCAAUUGAAACAAAGAUUAUUUGGUUGGCGACCCAGUACUGCAGGUUCAGAGAAGAAACCUUCCAUGGAAAAAGAAAUGGAACUCAGGUACGAAAGAAAUCCAAGAGGGAAUUGUACAGUCUCACAGAAAAUAAUUGAAGAAGAAUUAACAAAUCUGGGCUCAGAUCCACAGCAUAAAAUCCUAAUCAAGGACCACGGAAAGCUGGGGAGAUUAAAAACUCUCAAAAGGCACACACACACAUAAUUUUGUGAUCCCCAAAUCCAUAGAAUAAUCGCCAAGAAUUAACAAAUCAAACACCCAAACCGGCUCCAGAUGUAUUCAGAGAGAGAAACACUUACAAGAACUCAGCCAUGCAUAUAUAUGGCCUCCUCCGAUCCCUUCAAGUCAGCCGAGAUUUCCCCUUCCCGCCGAUGAGCUAGAUAUAUAUAUAGCUCGCCAAUUAACCCGAGCAAGAAGAAGAUCCCGCCGCCGCCGAGCUACCAACCACCGGCGUUGGUGGUAGCUCCGAUCAGCUAGCGUAAACCCUAGCCUGCCAGCUACAGAGCAGCAGCUUAGCUAGGUAGCGUCGUCGGAGAGAAGGAUGUGGAAGACGACCUGUGAAGCUUUGUGGUGGGUAUUUACACUGAGGAAUAAAUGAUCAGCGUCGUCGCUGUCGCGUCACUGUCCUUUUACCACCAUAUGCUCUCUCCCUUGUUGCUCCCCCGGCUCACUUCACUCUCCCUGAUCGAUCGAUCGUAUAGAUCGUAUAUUGGCAAUUUGGCCAGCAGAGGAUCGGAGCUGACCUGGCGAGCUGAUAAGCUCAUUAAGCUCAAUGCCAUAUGUUAGCGGAGUGUAUAUACGGGCAUAUACAUGCUUUCCUAAAUUUACAUAUGUACACUUGACCUGGCUAAACCUCUCAUGCAUCGUUUGCUCGAUCUAUGACUAGGCAAUAAAAAAUAGUUUAUAGAUAAAACUAUUUAUAACUAUUUUUUAAGAGAAAACUCUUUAUAACUAUUAUUUUGAGGGAAAACUCUUUAUAACUUUCCUAAUUAACAAUUUAAAGACAACGCUGGAAAAUAAACUAUAGUAAAAAAAACUUAAAUCAACUUAAAAAUAAUUUUUAAAAUUUAAAUUUUGUUGCGGUUGAUAUAUAAGCCAUCAAACAAACGAUGAAAUAAACUACGCUUGACCUAAUUAAUCAACUAGCACCCCCUGUGUGCAGUGGACAACAAAUCAAAGUGCUACUAGCAUUAACAUGGGGUUAGAUUAGCAAGAUACAAGGAUGCCAAUGCCUAGAUAUGCUUCUUAAUUUCAUAGAACACCUUCUAUUCCUCGGAUUACACUAACUUCGUCUGGUGAAUUAAUUAGGUUGAACUAAUUAAAGAGUUUUUAGUGUUCCAUGAGUAUAGCUAUAUCAGCUGGAAUUUUAAUUGUUUUUCUUUGAAUUAGUAUGGUCUUGAAAGCUGAUGAGAGUUGUUUGCAAAAAGGAAGAUCCUUAGAUGUUAUAUAUCAAAACAUUUGGUGUGAAAGGGCACGUAAUCUAGUGGUUGCAGUGAACUAAGUAGCACUUCAAGAUGCUGAGUUCAAAUUUUCGUAGAAGCAAAUUUUAGAUUGGAUUAUUUGAGGGCUAAGUUUCUAAAUUAAAAAGGCUGCAUAUAUCCGGUUGGAUUUAGAGGCUGGGUAUAAAUACCCUUCUCUAAAAAAAUCAACAUUUAGUGGCAGGUAGUAUGUAUACUUGAUUUUGAAUUUUGUUAGAUUGUUGAAUAAUAUUCUUCUUCCCACUAAAAUACAGUACCUUUACAAAUCUUUCAACAUCGAAAUCUAGGAGGCUAGUUUAGUCUAGGGACCAUCCAUCUUUUGAGCAUCAACUAGUAGCUAGCAGGACCACACCUACUUUUAUCCUCAGUAAAGACAUAAAUUUGGACCCAAAAAAGGGAGAAAUAAUCAGAUAAGAUCAUUUCUAUGAAAAGGAAAAGGAUUUGGGAUUAGUAUCAUCUUCUCAUGCUCACAGAAAACUGUCAGCAAUAGGUCAGUUCAGUUGUUUGAUUUUGAUUGUUCAUUGCUCUAGCUAAUUAGCAGUAUCAAAUACAUAAUGCUGGCUCAAGCUAUCCUAAUUACUAAUUAAUAUCUCUCCCGUUAUGUUAAGUCAAACUAUUUUUAAUUACCCAAUAAUUUGCCUUUAAAAUACUUUAUGCCAUCCGUUUCAAAUUAUUUGUUGUUUUUAGCUUUGUUAUAUAUGCCAAAUAUUACUAACUUUGACCUUUUUUUAGAAAAUUAUAUACUUUAACAUUUAUAAAAUUUAGUAUUGUUUUAGGUUCACCAUGAUAAAUACUUUCAUUACAUAAAUAAUUCAUAUAUUAUAAACUAUAUGAAUAUCUAAAAUUAAUAUAUAGCUAAAGUACUUAGGAAUAUUUGACUUAGGACAAAGCUAAAACAAUAAAUAAUAUGAAGCGGAGGAGUAAAUAUAAUUGAAGUCAUUUCGACACAAAAGGAUGAAUUUUGAAUGUAUCCUCAAUAAGCGUACAAUAUUAUUAUUGCUUUAUUUAAAAUAAAUCAAACUUUUAUAUAUAACACUUUUAGAGAGAUGUUAUAUGUACUUACGAAAUAUAUAUGUAUAUUGAGCUGCAGAGGUAUACUCCCUCCAUACAUGAAUAUAAGAGAUUUUUUUAUCAAAUUUGUUCCAAAAUAUAAGGGGUUUUAGAAUUCCAAGACAGCAUCAUGUUCUCCAACUUUUGUACUAAUUUAUUCAUCUACCAUCUACUUUUAUACUAAUUUAUUCUCCCACCUACUAAUUUUUAUACUCCCUCCGUCCCAUAAUAUAAGGGAUUUUAUAUUAAAGGACGGAGAGAGUACUACUUUAUUCUUUCACACAUCACAUUUUAUCUCAUCACAUGUCAUUUUCUUACUUCCUUAAUUCUUAAAAAAAAAGUAUAAUCUCUUAUAUUCACGGAUAGAGGGAGCAGCUUUAUAUCUUAGGAUGGAUGAAGAAAACAUAUAUGGAUGGAGUAAAUAUCAGUCUAGCUAGCUAGCUGGUGCAUGUCAUAAAUCAGAACAAUGUUCCCUAGCUAGCUGCUUUAUACGGUGGCCAUAUGAAUAGUAGCUACCACCCAGUGACGAUGAUACCCAUCAGAAUCAGCAGUGUAUCAUUUGCAAUGUUUCUCACGUUCUCAAAGAUCGAGCAUAGUUCUCAGUUCUCACCUGUGCCUCCACGGCUCCCCCUUAUCUUCCUCUUACACACAUACACACACAAUAUGACACUGAUGAUUAUAUAUUUAUUUAUUUAGUUA